UUGAUUUUUCAAAGUGAUAAAUGUAAUCAUAUGUUGAUAUAAUAAUUCAAAGUAGGAAAAAUAAUUUGAUUAGUAAACAAUUAAAGAUAAUGUUAUUUAAAUUUUAUUAUUACCAAAUAUUCAUCAACUUCCACUUGAUAGCUAUUAAAAUUUACCAAACACCAUCAACUUUUACUCCACAACUAUAGCUUUUUGCUAUGUGAAAACAUAACGCAAGUGCAUGUACCGUUUAACAAGUAAUAAAGUGAUAAGUAGUGCUAAUUAGACCAAGGAUACUUACAAAUGUAUUAUUUGUUGGGAAAAUGUGCUCUUUAAAAGCAUAUGUGUUUAUUUAAUUGUAAUAAAUAAUUUUUCUAAUUAAUAAAAUAAAUGAGGUAUUUUAUUCAAAUAUCUUAAUUGCAUUAAUAUUUUGAUUAAAGUCCAUUUAAUCAUAUUAUAUGUAUUUAUGUGAUCACCAUGUGGAUUCAUAGAAGACAUAAAUACAAGUUAUCUUAUGAUUAAAUAAAUUUAGUUCGCAAUUGAUAAAUAAAGUUGGGCACUUUAUUUAGGUAUAGACUGUAAUGAAUUCAUUGAAUGAUUUGUCUUAAUCAUGUAUGAAUUUAUUGAUGUAGUACGACUACAUUGAACAUGAUCACAUAUGAGAUUUAAUUAACUUUGUAAUAACUGUAAGACUUAUUAAAUCUCAUAGGCAUUGAUUUUACUGUAAUCUUAAUCUUGAGUUAAUUAUGAUUUCAUGAUUGUAAUUGUUAUUCCAUUUGAGUUACCAAUGGGCACGACACAUACUUGUGGUCAAGAUUACCCGGUAUCUUGGUGGGAGCAAUUAUGAGUAUUGGAGUUAUGGAUUAACAAUAUAGAAUUUGUACAACACAUCUCUUGAUGGGUUUUCGGCACUUGAUCAUAGAAUUCUCUGGCCAGAGUGUGUCAACAUAUUUAGUAUGUUGAAAAUGAUCAUUAGAGAAAAUCAGUAAGUAUCAAGGAAUAAGAUGUAAUUAAAUUGAUUGGACAGUUGAGAUAUCGAUUUAAUUAAUGAUGUGGUACAAAGGAUUGUGCAGUAAAGAAAUCAAUGUGACUUGGGACGAAUUAUUAUUCGAGCAUACAAUUAUGGAGGUCAAUUCCAAUCUUUUAGUGGAGUAGAUUUGGAAUUAAAUAAUUAGGCUAUUUUAAUUACAGGCCUAAUUGCUAUAGCCACUAUUGUAUGUUCCCAAAUGAUCCCAGGGUUAGCUUAUUUAAUUGACUGCACCACUACUGGAUUAAUAAGCAAGAUAACUAGCUAUUUGGGUCAAAAGCCUAAAUAUAUCAUUUAGUGGGAGGCUCCAUUUAAUUAGCUUGUGUGUAAGGGGCCUUUUGUUAUUUUACAAGGUGGGUCCCCUAUAGAAAAAGCAAGUAACGUUAGUUUUGUUUUUCAUUAUUUGGAGCCUAGGGUUUUCGCUAAAGGGAGAUAUAGAAAGGCUUAUUUUCUCUAAAGAAAAAGAGAGCAACCACUUUAUACAAAUCAGAGAAAAAGAUUUUUCUCUCUAUUGUUGAGAGAAAAUUUUUCCGUGCUAGUUGCUUUAGUGGUGAUAAAGACACCCACAUGUCACGUGCAGAUCAAACCUGAGUCAUAAUCUAGAAGAUCAUUGGUGACAGUUCAUGAUCUAACAAGCGUGGUGGUGACAGAUUGUGAUCUAAUAGGAGUGGUGGUGACGGAUCAUGAUCUGGGAGCCUAAAUCACUUCAGUGAAAAAAGCCAAAUCGGAUUUUCAAGGUACGAUUUCUAGAUUACAAAUUCUUAUAUAUUGUAUGAGAGUGAUCUUAAAAGGUUUUAUAAAAAUUUAAAAAAACUGAUUUUUCUCCAACAAUUGGUAUCAGAGCCAUCUCAUAUUAAUAUAUAAGAAUAUUGUAUGAAAUCAAUCUUGAAAUUUAUGUAUUAGAGUUGCAUAAUUUAUUCAGAUAUAUAUUAUUUCUUUAAUAUAUGAAUAAAGCAUGUUUUGGUUUGUCUUAAUUCAUGGUUAGAUUCUUUACUGUAUUUUUCUUUGGAUCUGUAACAAGAGGGGUGGUCUUUUAUCACCAUGUUUCCCUCUUGGUUUAUUUUACUGUAAUAGAAAUUUUGUAAGCGAAAAUUGGCGUAGAAAAUUUGUAAAUCACUAAAGAAUCAUCACUGGAAAACGAGCUCAAAGAGUCGAGCCCAAAAAUUUCAACAACGAGCGGUCAGCAGCACACGCUGCUGCGCGAGCAGUGCGCGACCAGCAACACAUGCUGCCAACAGCGCGCACUGCACAACACAUGCUGCCAGCAGCGCGCUCUGCACACGCAGCAGCUGCAGCGCUACCAGUAGCGCGGGUGAGGACUUGUGACGUGCAUGCGCAGGCUGCUGGCAGAGGGUGUCGUUUGGUGCGUUUCCAGCGUGACGGCGGCAGCAAACUCGGCGUCGGAGAUGGCUAGAAAUUUUGACCAGCGGCUGGCUUUAUGUUGAUGGCGGAUGGAGAAGAAGGGGAGAGAAAAAGAUGGAUUUAGUGUUUCAAUGGUUUUGAUCAUUGAGGUCCCUAUGGUUCCAAUAUUUUUCUUCGGGCAGAAAAUGUUUAAUUUUUUGCAUUUAAGUCCAAAAAAAUAAUUUUGGGCUUAAUGAAUCCUAGUUUUAGGUCCAAUUGAAAUUGGGCUUAAUGGAUUAAAAUGCAUAGAUAAAAUUGAACACAUUAUAUUUAUUUUUGGUCCAAAAGUUUUAUUUUAAUAAAAAAAGUUUAUUUAUUUCCUUCCAAAAAUUAAAAUUGGACCAAUAAUAAAUUUAAAAGCCCAAUUUCCCCUAGUCCAUCCACAAAGACAAGCUUAUGGAAGAUGGACAAUGGCAAGAAGUCCAAUGAAGAUUAGGCUUAGAGUUAAUGUAUUUUUUCAUUUUAAGAAAGCCAUGAAUUAAGAUUAUUUAAUUAUUUUUCUAUAUGUUAUGUUUUGGAUGAUAACAUGCCAUGAUAACAUGUCAUGUAGAAUAGGUAGUGCCACUCUAUGCAUAAUGAUACAUGUCAUUCAUUAAUUAUGAAUCUCGUUAUAUUGUUUGUAAUUUGCCUAUACUUAAUAAUAUUAUAUAUAAUCUAGAUAAUAUUAUAGGAAGCAUGCAAUUAACAAUAUGUAUGUUUUAAAAAGGAAAAACCAAUUUUAAAAUAUUGAGUGGGAGAGGGAAAAUUCAAGAUAAUUUUCCCACAGGCUCCAUUGUUAGUUCAAUAAUAAAAUUAUAUAUAUAUAUAUCUCGACUUCAUGAUACGGUGAUGCUCCCUUCAGAGGGUAUAUAUAUUAGAUAUUUUAUUUGAUGAACUUCUUCAAAGAUAAAAUUGAAAUAUUUUUCAAUCGAUUGUUCACCCCAACGGUGACUAUUGAUAUGAAAAAUACGUAGAUUGAAACAAUGGUUAUACACUCAACUCAAAUUUGUUAUUAACCUUCCCAACGAAGCUCUGUUAACAAAUUUAGACCCAAAAGGAUAACAAUAAUUAUUUAUCAUGUCUCUACAUGAAAGUAAAUAAUCCAAUAGAUAAUUGGGUCUAGUAAGUGUAGACAUGACUUCCCCAAUGGAUAUCUUAUCAAAGCGGUACUAGAUUAUCGUUACAAUAAAUUAAAAUGCAUUUAUGAUUUUAUGCAUUUUUGUCAUUUAUUGUGAAUAUUAUUUCAAAUUAUUUAUGCAUGGAUGUUUUAUUUUUCAGAAAAUGUCUUCCCUGAGCCCGCUUACUAUUAUUUUGAGUCAAAACAAACUCACUGGAGAGAACUAUAUAGAUUGGAAAAGAAAUCUAUUCAUUGACCUAACUGCUGAAAAUUAUAAAUAUGUCUUAACCCAGCCAUGCCCUCCAGUUCCAGCAGAUGAUACUCAUAGAAAUAAGAGAAGGCUUUAUGAGAAAUGGCAAAAGGCCAAUGAAAUGGCAAAAUGCUACAUUUUAGCCUCGAUUUCUAAUAUUCUACAGACCAAACAUCAGAACUUGGAGACUGCCACUAAAAUAAUGGAUAGUCUCCAAUAGAUGUUCGGGCAGAGUACUCGCUCCGCGAGACAAGCAGCGCUGAAAGGAAUUAUGAACAGUAAAAUGGGGAAGGGCACAAGAGUUCGUGAUCAUGUCCUCAAAAUGAUGGACUAUUUGAAUGAGGUUGAGAUUCAAGGAGCACAAAUCGAUGAUAACUCAAAGAUUGACAUAGUGUUAGAAUCUCUGCCAGUGACAUUCAAGGAGUUUAAGGUCAAUUAUAACAUGAACAAAAGAAACAUGACCUUAACUGAAUUAAUGAACGAACUCCAUUCUGCUGAAGAGAUCUAUCGUGCUGAGAAAUCUAUGGGAAGCAUAAAUAUUACUGAAAAAGCUUCUUCUUCUAGACCUAAGUCGAAAGGAAAAGGUAAGAAGAAAGCUGGGAAAAAGGGACCGUCUACCAAGCAAGAUGGCAAGCUGAAAGGCAAAUGCUUCAAGUGUGGACAGAAAGGUCAUUAGAAAAAGGAUUGCCCUAAGAUUGUGAAAUCAGGUAUGGGAAAUCUUUUUGUAAUUGAGGCAUGUUUAGUUCAGAAUCCUAUUAACACUUGGGUGUUGGAUUCAGGAGCAACUUUGUAAUUUAUAUCAUUUAAGUCCAAUGAUCCAUUCUAUGCAUGACACAGUGAUCAAUAAUGAUGAGCAUACACAUUUAUCUAAGAAAAGAAAUAUUUCUUCCAACCAAUGUUACCUCUGGCAUUUAAACUUGGGUCAUAUAAACCAAAAUAGAAUACAGAGAAUGAUCAAAGAUGGACUUUUGGAUCCAUUAGAAAAUGAAUUAUUGUUGUACGUGCAACAGUGCCACUUGAAUUGAUACAUACAGAUGUAUGUGGACCAAUCAAUGUACAAGCUCGAGGAGGUUAUGAGCAUUUCAUCACUUUCACUGAUGAUUACUCGAGAUACGGUUAUGUUUAUCUGAUGCGUCACAAGUCUAAAGCUCUUGAGAAAUUCAAAGAGUAUAGGAUUGAGACAGAAAAGCAAUUAGAUAAGAACAUAAAGAAACUUCGAUCUGAUCGAGGUGGUGAAUUUCUCUCUGGAGAUUUCAAAGAGUAUCUGGUUGAAAAUGAGAUUAUAUCUCAGUUGGUGNNNNNNNNNNNNNNNNNNNNNNNNNNNNNNNNNUUUUUUUUCUUAUAAAACUUAAAACCUUACAUCAAUUCUAGACUUGAAUCAAGAUCACUUAGAGAACAAAUAAGGUGUUUUUAUUACAUUUUGCAUAAACAUUCAUUUUAGUUGAGUCUUAAUAAGUUUUGCUUGAAUCAAAGUAAUUUGUGCUAAAAAUAGGUGCGUAAUUGUAGGUUCUCAAAAAGUCUUAAUUCAUGAGGGGAUGUUGAGGCAUUAGAUGAGCAAGAGGAGGAAAGAAGAUGGCCACAAAAGAAGAAAAGCACAAUCGGGAAUAAUGCAGUGCUGCUGCGAAUGUUAGAGCAACCCGUGCUGUAGCAAUCUGGGAGCAAUGCAGGAGAAAACUUAAGUGCGGGUCAGCGCAUGUGUCAUAAUUUAAUGUAUGCACGCUCAUGGGCUUUUGUUUACCCUAAUUUGCAAUAUAAAAGGGAGGCGUGCACCACAUAGAAAGGCGGCAAGGGAAUUAUCAUUAGAAUAAUUACAAAGGAAAGAAGAAGAAGAUCAGAAUUGAAGAGUGUUGUUUCGGUAACAUUGGAGAAUCGUGCAAAAUUAUUUGGAUUUGUCUUUCACAGUGCUCAACUUAUAUUUAUCUUCUUCCUUUAAUUGUUUUGAUGUAUUCCGAGAUCAAUAUAUUUAUGUUUAUUUUUCUCAUUCAGAUUAUAAACUAAAUUUACUUGUAGUUGAGUGACAAAUAAUCCAAUGGGUUCUUGACUGUUCUUAUAUGUUGUUAUGGCACUGCUGUAGCAUUUUACUCUAGUAGUUUUUAUGAAUAUAACUGUUAUUUCAGUUGACCACCCAUUUAAUAGUUUUAGUUAAGAUAGAGCAGCAAAAGGGCAUGUCUUAGCAGAUAUUAUUAGAGUAUUACUUGAUCUUAAAUUGAGUUUCCUGGAUUAGGUUAUCUUGUGAUUGCUUUAGUUGAGUUUCCUGGAUUAGAUAAAGUGAUGAGUAUUCAAGUUCUAUUGUGAUUGCUUUAAUAUUUUGAGUAACAUCAAUCCCUGUGGAGACGAUCUUGAAUACUCAUCACUUUAUUACUUGUUGUGUAUACUUGCACAUUGGCAUUGGUAGUAAUUACUUAUAAAAAAUUAACCAACAGUAGCUGAAAGAAGAAAUAGAACUCUUUUGGAUAUGGUGAGAUCUAUGCUUAGUUAUUCGUCAUUACCAAUCUCUUUUUGGGGACUAGCACUAGAAACUGUAGUUUACCUCUUGAACUUAGUUCCAUCUAAGUCAGUGCCUAAAACCCCAAUAGAAUUAUGGUCAGGUCGCAAACCAAGUUUACGACAUGUCUGUAUUUGGGGAUCACCAGCACAUGUGCUGAAACCAAAGGCAAACAAAAUGGAUUCACGCUCUGAGGUUUGUAUGUUUGUGGGAUAUCCCAAAGGAACAAGGGGAGGUUUAUUUUAUAGUCCUCAAGAUAGGAAAGUGAUCGUGAGCACACAUUUCACUUCCCUCGAGGAAGACUAUAUCAAUAACUUCAAACCUAAGAGUAAGGAAAUACUUGAAGAACUGUCAGGUGAUCAGGUUGAUGCUCAGCUUUCAACGCCUAUUACAGAACAAGAAGAGCAACAACAACCAGAUGAUCAACACAGGAUUAUCCCUUAACAACCAUUACUUCUAGAACCUUGUCGUAGUGGGAGGGUAACUAGGUUACCUGCGAGAUACAUGCUUUUGGGAGAAAACCUAUACGGCUAUCUCAUAUGAACAUGUACAAGAUCCCACUAGUUACAACGAAUCUCUAAUAGAUAGAGAUGUUGAAAUUUGGAAAAAGGCCAUGAAUCAAGAAAUGGAAUCUAUGUAUUCCAAUAAAGUCUGGAAACUUGUAGAGGCACCAAAUGGGGUAAAACCUAUAGGGUGCAAGUGGAUCUACAAGAGAAAAAGAGGAGUAGACGAAAGGGUGGAAACAUUUAAAGCAAGAUUAGUAGCCAAAGGAUUUACUCAGAAAGAGAGAAUCGAUUAUGAGGAAACCUUUUCUCCAAUUGCUAUGCUUAAAUCCAUCAGGAUUCUGCUCUCCAUUGCUGCAGUGCUAGAUUAUGAAAUUUUGUCAAAUGGAUGUCAAGACUGCCUUUCUUAACGAGCAUCUUGAAGAAAACAUCUACAUGCAGCAACCAGAUGGAUUUAUACAAAAAGGCCAAGAACACAUAGUAUGUAAGUUGCAGAGAUCCAUUUAUGGAACAUCAGAUUUGAUCAAGCGAUCAAAUCGUUUGGAUUCAUUCAGAACAUUGAUGAACCAUGUGUGUACAAGAAAAUUAAAAAAAAAAUCUGUAGCCUUCCUAAUUCUUUAUGUAGACGAAUUCUCCUAAUUGCAAACGAUAUAAGAGUAUUGACUACAAUAAAGAGUUGGUUAGCAAAACAAUUUGAUAUGAAAGACUUGGGAGAGGCAAGUUAUAUUCUUGGUAUCAAGUUACUACGAGACCGGAAGAAUAAAAAUUUAGUCUUGUCUCAAGCGGUCUAUAUCGAUAAGAUAUUGGCUAGAUUUAGCAUGGAAAAUUCCAAGACUGGUUUAUUACCAUUCAGACAUGGAAUUACAUUCUCUAAGGAUCAAUCACCUAAACCAUCUGAAGAGAUAGAGAGAAUGAGACGAGUUCCCUAUGCAGAAGUUGUGGGAAGUCUCAUGUAUGCCAUGCUUUGCACUAGGCCAGACAUCUAUUUUGCGGUAGGGAUGGUUAGUAGAUAUCAAUAUAAUCCUGGUCCUGAACACUAGAUUGCGGUCAAGUAUAUACUAGAUAUCUCACCUGGGUAUGUCUCCUUCAGACCUCUUGCUUGCUAAGCAAAAAUGUUCUCAGUUACUCUAAAGGUCUCAUUGAACCUACUGAUUCAGAUUGGGAUACGCUCGCCUCUAAUUUUCUAUACUGAGUAUGCUCUGCACUUACCUUAAGCCUAAGGAUCCUGUGUAUCAGAAAGGUCCUAUUUUUAUCCUCCAAAACCGAUUCCCUUUUCACUCAGACACAAUCCACACCUGUGCCUCCUCCUGUGUUUGAAACCUAUUCACCUUUUUAUACAUCUCCCAGACUUCCCCAACCUGUUUACAACCAGUUCUUUGGUUUCUCACAUCUCCAACCAACUCUUCAACCAAAAAACCAAAGUCUAAAGUCCAAAUUUCAGAACCGACGUCGGUUCAAUUGUAGGGAGGAGUUAAUUAGAAAUAAAAACUUAAGUUUCCUUACAUCGUGUUUCCCUAAAUCCUCUCUCUCUCUUCUAGGGCUCAAACAAUUUAUUUGGGUUAAUAAUGAUAGGCUCGCCUCUAAUUUCUGGGUUGGUGACAGUAUAAUGUGGAUUUUCAGUAGGAAGAAGGGAUUCAAAAUCUUCCCAUGGGUCCUGAGCGUCUUGGAAUAAGAUGUUGGUGUAAUCAGGGCGUUAAAGCACACUUAUCUAGUCUAGAAGACUGGAUAUACUCUUUUGGUAGUGGUCUUUUUGUGGAGAUGAGGGUUCGAAUACUUCUGGUGAGAGAAGUUUUUUGUUUGUAAAGGUUGUAGGGACUCAUGAUAGGAAACUGUGAUUCAUUGAUUUGGGCAGAUUCAGGAGUAUAAGAAUAUUUGACAAGAUUUUCAAUUCCUCUGAUCAUGAGCAUAAAGCAUCUCACACCGAACCAGUGCCACCAAUGCCACCACCAGCUCAUGAUCACUUAACAAAACAACUCAUUCCAGUGGGUUAUACUGAUUCUGACUUUAUGUCAGAUAAGGAUUCCAGAAAAUCAACUUCCGGCUAUGUGUUUACAUUGUGAAGUGGAGCUAUUAGUUGGAGGAGUGUGAAACAAUCUUGUAUCGUAGACUCCACAACUAAAGUUGAAUAUGUGGCUGCAUUCGAAGCUGCAAAAGAAGCUGUAUGGCUCCGCAAGUUCCUACAAGAUCUUGAGGUGGUACCUGCUGUAACUGCACCCCUUAAACUAUUUUGCGAUAAUAGUGGUGCGGUAGCUCAAUCUGAGGAACCAAGGAACCACAAGAAACAAAAACAUAUUGAGAGGAAGUAUCAUCUUAUAAGGGAUAUAGUGCAGAGAGGUGAUGUGAAGGUUACUCAGAUUGCAUCACAGCAAAACUUGGCAGAUCCUUUUACUAAGGCUAUACUUGGGAAACCUUUUAACUUGCACUUAGAAUCCAUGGACAUGCAUGAGAUGCCAAAUAUGCUUUGAGAGCUAGUGGGAGAUUGUUGGGAAAAUGUGCUCUUUAAAAGCAUAUGUGUUUAUUUUAUUGUAAUAAACAUUUUUUCUAAUUAAUAAAAUAAAUGAGGUAUUUUAUUCAAAUAUCUUAAUUGCAUUAAUAUUUUGAUUAAAAUCCAUUUAAUCAUAUUAUAUGUAUUUAUGUGAUCACCAUGUGGAUUCACAAAAAACAUAAAUACAAGUUAUCUUAUGAUUAAAUAAAUUUAGUUCGCAGUUGAUAAAUAAAGUUGGGCACUUUAUUUAGGUAUAGACUGUAAUGAAUUCAUUGAAUGAUUUGUCUUAAUCAUGUAUGAAUUUAUUGAUGUAGUACGACUACAUUGAACAGGAUCACAUAUGAGAUUUAAUUAACUUUGUAAUAACUGUAAGACUUAUUAAAUCUCAUAGGCAUUGAUUUUACUGUAAUCUUAAUCUUGAGUUAAUUAUGAUUUCAUGAUUGUAAUUGUUAUUCCAUUUGAGUUACCAAUGGGCACGACACAUACUUGUGGUCAAGAUUACCCGGCAUCUUGGUGGGAGCAAUUAUGAGUAUUGGAGUUAUGGAUUAACAAUAUAGAAUUUGUACAACACAUCUCUUGAUGGGUUUUCGGCACUUGAUUAUAGAAUUCUCUGGCCAGAGUGUGUCAACAUAUUUAGUAUGUUGAAAAUGAUCAUUAGAGAAAACUAGUAAGUAUCAAGGAACAAAAUGUAAUUAAAUUGAUUGGACAGUUGAGAUAUCGAUUUAAUUAAUGAUGUGGUACAAAGGAUUGUGCAGUAAAGAAAUCAAUGUGGCUUGAGAUGAAUUAUUAUUCGAGCAUACAAUUAUGGAGUUCAAUUCCAAUCUUUUAGUGGAGUAGAUUUGGAAUUAAAUAAUUAGGCUAUUUUAAUUACAGGCGUAAUUAUUAUAGCCACUAUUGUAUGUUCCCAAAUGAUCCCUGGGUUAGCUCAUUUAAUUGACUGCACCACUACUGGAUUAAUAAGCAAGAUAACUAGCAAUUUGGGUCAAAAGCCUAAAUAUAUCAUUUAGUAGGAAGCUCCAUUUAAUUAGCUUGUGUGUAAGGGGCCUUAUUUUAUUUUACAAGGUGGGUCCUCUAUAGAAAAAGCAAGUAAUGUGAGUUUUUUUUUCAUUAUUUGGAGCCUAGAGUUUUCACUAAAGGGAGAUAUAAAAAGGCUUAUUUUCUCUAAAGAAAAAGAGAGCAGCCACUUUAUACAGAUCAGAGAAAAAUAUUUUUCUCUCUAUUGUUGAGAGAAAAAUUUUCUCGUGCUAGUUGCUUUAGUGGUGAUAAAGGCGCCCACACGUCAAGUGCAGUUCAAACCUAAUUCAUAAUCUGGAAGAUCAUUGGUGACAGUUCAUGAUCUAACAAGCGUGGUGGUGACAGAUCGUGAUCUAACAGGAGUGGUGGUGACGGAUCGUGAUCUAGGAGCCUAAAUCACUUCAGCGGAAAAAGCCAAAUCAGAUUUUCAAGGUACGAUUUCUAGAUUACAAAUUCUUAUAUAUUGUAUGAGACCGAUCUUAAAAGGUUUCAUAAAAAUUAAAAAAACUGAUUUUUCUCCAACAUUAUUAUCAUUAGAUAUCUCAUAUCAAAUAAUAAUAAACUACACAUUCAUUUAAUCUUUCAAUUUAAUUAAUAAGAACUCCGUAGGGAGGAUAUUAACGAACUUAAAUUGAGUUAUAACCAUUAUUUCAAUCUCUUUUAUUUCGUAAAACAAAAGAGCUAUUGUUUGGCAAUCAAUUUUAAUGAGUCAUACCAAAGAUUUUAUCUUUAGAUAAGUCCUAUCUAAUAGCCAGUUUUAAUUAAUACCCUCUAUAAGGAGCUUAUCUAAUUGGAUGUGAGGUAUUAAUCUACCUUACUGUAGGGUCAACGAUGGAGGCUGUGGGCUUUAUGCCCAGUGGUCUCUCCCACUCAAUAUUUGUAAGUUAGAGUUUUCUUUUAAUACUCUUAAUUGAUUAAUUAAUUGACAUUCCAUCAAGUAUAACUUUAUAAAACAGAACAACUGUUGUUUGGCAGUCAGUUUUAACGAGUCAUACUCAAGUUUUUAUCUUUCAGACAAGUCCUAUGUAAGAGCCAGUUUUAAUUUAAUACUCGUCGUAGGGAGCUCAUCUAAUUGAAGGUGAGGUACUAAUCUACCUCAUUACAGGACCAACUAUGGAGGCUGUGUGCUUUAUGCCUAGUGCCCUUUCCCACUAAAUAUUUGUAAGUUAGAGUUUUCAUUUAAUAUUCUAAGUUGAUUAAUUAAUUUCCACCAAGUAAUAUCUAAUUUUAUAAAACAAAACUAUUAUUUGGCAGUCAAUUUUAAUGAGUCGCACUCAAGAUUUUAUCUUUUAGAUAAGUCCUAUCUAGUAGCCAAUUUUAAUUCAUACCCUCUGAAGGGAGCUCAUCUAAUUGGAGGCGAGGUAUUAAUCUACCUUGCUAUAGGACCAAUGAUGGAGGUUGUGGGCUUUAUGCCGAGUCCUCUCCCACUCAUAUCAUUAACAAUUACCGAUUAAAAAUUUCACAUAUAAUAUAUAAUAUAUUGCCACUAUAUAUCAUCAAAGCUUGAAAAGGGAAAAUUCAAGUUGUCGCCUUGCUGAGUUCGAAUGGAGCUUGGAGGAAUUUGGUGAUGGUGGAAGUGUGGAGUAGCAGAUCCGGUCGCAGUCCUCGCAAAAUAGCAGAUUGGGCUAGCAUCGGUGAUGACUACUAGAAAAAUGGGGUUGGUGCGUCUACUUCUGCAGAUUGCAGGCUACGCUACAUCUGGUAGUCAGGUGCCACUUGUUUUUCUGAUGUAGGCGUGUGUGAAAAGUGGACACUCUGUGUGUGAGUGUUUCUUGUCUUCUUGAGAAAUGAAGGGAGGUUAUCGGUUGUGUGUGUUUCUGAGUGAGGGAGGUUGUGCGUGUAUGACUCAUUGUAUCUUAGGUUUCAAUUUCACUAAUUUUUGAUGAUUUUAAAGCCAACCGAUUGGUGUUUCUAAUCCGAUCAUGAUCCGAUUGGGUUAGCAAAAAGGCAUCUAAUUGGGUCUUGUUAACAAUUCGAUCCAAUCUAAACCAAAUAUUUUUUUAAUUAGGUUGAGUUGAGUCGGAUCAGAUUGGAUAUUUUGCCCAGCCCUAAUUGUAAUAUUUUCAACCACCACAGUUGGGAUCUAGAAAAUAUGGCAAUCUUUUCCAUCAUCAUUGUUGAGUUCUAUAGAAUAGGUUUACAGUACUCUCUUAUACACGAUAAGAAAUAAAUUCUUUUGGGACAAUAUUUUUUAUAAGGGAUUAAAUUUUGUUGCUAAAUGCUACUUUUUAGGACCAUAGUUGAUAUCGCCGCUAAAUGUCUUUUUUUUUUUCUAUGGCCAAAUUAAAUUCAUCACAAAAGCUCACUUUUUGCGACAAAACACAUUUUUCAUAGUAAAAACAUUUGCCAAAUAUAUUUAUUUUUAUAAUUUAUUUGCGACCAAACACAAUUCCUUUGCAAAUUCUAUUUCAAUCACCACUUAAAGAUUUUAUUCCAAAAAAGAAAGGUGAUAUCCCAAAUGUCUACUUAUUACGUCCUUUUUCAAAUUAUUUCAAGAAGCCAAAUAUUUUCGCAGGAAAUCUUCAGCCAAAACAAAUUGUAAGAGAUAUUUACAAUGCUUUAUACGACAAAUCAUUAUUUGGUGACUAAAGGUAGACAUUUUACAACCAAUUUUACAUUAAUCACAAAAAAAUGAUAUAUAAAAUCUUAUAUCAUUUUAGCGACAUCUUUAAAAUAUUGUUGCAAAAAACGAAAUAUUUUUGGUGGAAAUGUAACCCCUUUACAUAAGUAUACUUAAUUUAAAUAACUUUUUGUGACCAAAUUUAAAUAUGAUUGCAAAAGAAUUACAUGUCAUAUAUAUUUGUAUUAUUCUUCUCUCUUUCUUUUUUAUCUUUAAGUUAUCUCACUCUUAUAAUUCUCAUUCUCUUGUUCUCUCUCUAUCUUCUUAGCUUAUUUUUUUGUUACAUAAUUUUCUUUAAUUAUCAUGUGUAGGAGUGAACUAGCCUUUGUGCUUUUUUUUCUUUUUUCUGGGUGUAGGAAUUAAAUAUUGAAGAUCAUAUACAAGGAAGUGAAGAAAAUCGUGAUGUAAGAAGGUGAAGAAAAUCAAGAAAUUUAUAAAUAAAUAUAAUUGUUCCAUAUAUUACAAUGCUAUUUGGAGAUAAUUAUGUAAUUGUUCCAAAUGUUACAAUUAUGUAAUUGUUCUAAAUGAUAGAGCUUCAUUUGCUAAACUUUUUUGUAUUUUUAUCAAUAAUAAAUUUCGUAAUUUAAAUCUUCUGCUUUCUUGAAGUUUGUUAUAAUUGUUUUAAUUAUGAAAGAAAAAUUCAAUAAAAAUUUAACAAAUAAAAAUUUUAUAAAAUUAUAAUAAAAAUAUAAUGUUAUAUUUAAAUUUUUUUUUUUGCGACUACUUUUAGUACAGUCACAAAUAUUGUUAAUCUACAACCAAACAAUUAACGACAAAAAAAGCAACGGAGAGAAAGUGAAAUCAUUUUUUGUGACCAUUUCUUUUGUCAAUAAAAGUUUUUUUGCAACCAACUUAAAAAGUGGUCAGGUAUAUUUUUCCUUGAUGGACCUAAUUUGACUAACUUGCAACCAUAAUUUUUUUUGUCACAAAUUAUUUUCAAGGACAAAUUUGAUAUUUUUUUGCGACGAAUUGUUUUGUGACAAAUGGCCAUAAUUCUAAUUGUGCUAUCUCCAUCUUCUUUGUUGCUAUCUCAGUCUUCUCUGUUGCUAUUUCAAUCUUUUCUGUUAUUCUUAAUCAUCUCUUACAUGUGUGGGCGUAUAGAGAACCCUAAUUUCCGUGCAAGAGAUGGAAACCCUAGAACAAUAUUUUUCUUUUAAGAAAAACUGUACGUAAAGUUAUUUUUCUAUUCUCCUACAUGUGUGGCCUAUUUUUCUUUUAAAUAGGCACUUAUUAGAGAUAGAAUUUAACUAGGAAUUAAGCUAGUAAAGGGACCGUAGGCCCAUGGGCUUUCUAUCUCUAACUUAAUAGUCAAGGCCUAGUCAUCUGAUGAUGAACUAAAACUAUUAAGUUAACCACAAGGUACUCCACUAAAAGUCUAAAGUUGCACUCUAAUAACCCAUGUAAUUAAAUAAAAACCUGAUUAAUUGAAUCUCCCUUUAAUUAAUAUUAGUCUUGGUCUUGGAUAAAAAAUAACCAUUUCAUUGACCUUCUAUCUAAUGCUCAUAAUUAAAGCUUGGCUAAUGACAGUUGUUGUACCUCUAUAAUUAUAUAUUUACCACUACGUCAUUAUUUGUUCUAAUGAUCACUUUUAAUAUAUCUAUAUCUGUAAAUAAAUUACAAACAAAUAUUAUUAUUCAAUAAAUAAUUUAUUAAAUAAACUGGGGCUAGAGAUUUAAAUGAUCAGGUACCACAAAUAACUCAGGUAAGCAUCGUUAAUAUAUAUUGCAUCUUGUAUAUCUGUAUAAUGUGGCCUCUUCUUCUUUUUGGGAGAAAAUAAGCCCUUUUGUAUCUCUAUCUUAGUGGAAACCCUAGGCUCCAUAUUUUUAUAAUUUUAAUUCUAUUAAAUCAAAUUUGAUUUAAAUUAAAAAUAAUAAAAUCAAAAGCAACGUUACUUCUUCUUGUCAUAGGGGCCCAUCUUGUAAAAUAACACAAGACCCCUUAGACAUAAGUACAUUACAUGGAGCCUCUUACUAAAUAAUAUAUUUGGGCUUUUAACCCAAAAAGCUAGUUAUCUUACUUAUUAAUCCAGUAGCGGUGCAGUCAAUUACAUGAGCUAACCCGAGGAUCAUUUGGGAACAUACAAUAGUGGUUACAACAAUUAAACUUGUAAAUGAACAAGCCUAAUCAAUUAAUUCCAACUCUACUCCACUAUAAGAUUGGAACUGACCCCCAUAAUUGUAUGCUCGAAUAAUAAUUCGUCCCAAACCACAUUGAUUUCUUUAUUGCAUAAACAUUUGUACCACAUCGUUAUUUAAAUCGAUAUCUCAAUUGUCCAAUUGAUUUAAUUACAUCUUGUUCCUUGAUACUUACUGGGUUUCUCUAAUGAUCAUUUUCAACAUACUAAAUAUUUUGACAUACUCUAUACUAAAUAUUUUGACAUACUCUGGCCAGAGAAUUCUAUGAUCAAGUGUCGAAAACCCAUCAAGAGAUGUGUUGUACAAAUUCUAUAUUGUUAAUAUAUAACUCCAAUACUCAUGAUUGCUCCCAUCAAGAUACCGGGUAAUCUUGACUACAAGUGUGUGUCGUACCCAUUGGUAACUCAAAUGAAAUAAUAAUUUGUUGAGAUUGAACACAACAGAAGCCAAAAAGAAUCUCCAAGAAUGAAGUAAAGAACCGAGAACCCACUUGCAAGAUCAUAAACCAGAUCUUGAACACCAACACCAGACAUGACAAUUCAAAGGGAAAACUAGCACUUUUAUAUUACUCAAAACGAUUACAAAUCUGUCAAGCCUUGUAAAAGAAAUCACAAGCUUUACAAAGAAUUCAUGAUCACUCAAAUUGAAUGAAAAACGAAAGAUAAAUGUAACUGAUAUAAGAUGACACGCAUCAGCUCUGUUUAUAAAGCUAACUCUAAAGAUUCCUAGAAGCUGCUCAACAAACAUAACGAACUUUUAGACACGUCAGCAACGAAGUUGCACGUCGACCCUCAAACUUAAGUCAAUUUGUACAAAAGUCACAUAAGUCUUAACUCUUUACAUUUAACCCCCUAAAAAUAGAAUAUGAUUCUUCAAAAUCUCCACCUUGCAGACUUGAUUCAGUUUGAUUCUUGACCAUAAAAGCUGCUUCAAAAAACCCCUUUAAGCGCACAGCCUUUAAGCACACAACUUAACACUCGAUUACACAAAGUAAUCACUGUGAGUUUGCCACGACUCCCAUCAAGUUUACACAAAACUUGAACUUAGCAGUGGGAACCACUUUUGUAAGUACAUCAGCAAGAUUUACAUCAGUGUGUAUUUUGGACACUGACACAGCACCUUUAGACACUUCAUCUCUGAUGAAAUGGAGCCUAGCAUCAAUGUGCUUAGUCCUCUCAUGAUAGACUUGAUUUUUAAUAAGGAGGAUUACACUUUGAUUGUCACAGAAAAUGGUGAAAAUAUUUUGUCUUAACCAAAGUUCAUUCAAAAUUCCACUAAGCCACUUUCCCUCUUUUACUGCCUCUGUUGCAGCAACAAAAUCAGCCUAUAUAGAAGACAAAGUAACCACAGGUUGAAAAGUUGUUUUCUAACUGAUCAGACAGCCAUUCACCAUGAACAAGUAGCCUGAGAUUGAUUUCCUCUCAUUCAAAUCACCUGCAAAAUCUGAGUCUACAUAUCCCACUACACUAUUGUCAUCCUGCUUUGACCUUCCAUACAUCAAACCAUGAUCGGGAGUACCUUUAAGGUAUCUCAUAAUCCAUUUCACAGCAUCUCAGUGCUCUUUUCCAGGAUGACUCAUGAAUCUGCUAACAAGACUAACAGCAUAAGCAAUACCAGCCCUAGUACAUACCAUUGCGUACAUGAGGCUCCCAAUUGCAUGUGCAUAUGGCACUUCACUCAUCAUAAACUUAUCUUGAUUUGUGACAGGAGCUUGCACCUUUGAAAGUUUGAACUGAGAUCCUAAUGGUGUCUGAAUAGACUUUGCAUCCAACAUAUCAAAUCUGUCAAGAACCUUUAGAAUGUACCUCUCUUAACUGACAAAUAGAGUUCCAGCAGCUCUAUCCCUUAUGAUGUCCAUCCCAAGUAUCCUCUUAGCACAUCCCAGAUCCUUCAUUUCAAAUUCUGCAUUUAAUAGGUCUUUGAGUUUCUUAAUCUCACUCCUAUCCUUGUUAGCAAGUAACAUAUCAACAACAUACAACAGAAGGUAAACAGCUCCACCUGAACUUGAGCUUCCAAAGUAAACACAACUAUCAUAUUUACUUCUGAGAUAGCCAUUGGAGAUCAUGAACUCAUCAAAUCUCCUGUACCAUUGUCUUAGAGAUUGCUUUAAUCUGUAAAGGGACUUGUUUAAGUGACAAACAUAAUCUUCCUUCCCUUUGACCUGAAAACCCUCUGGUUGUGUCAUCAGGAUUUCUACCUCAAGCUUCCCAUGCAGAAAAGUUGUCUUCACAUCCAUCUGAUCAAGCUCUAUAUUAGUCAGAGCUACCAUUGACAGUAACAUCCUUAUGGAGCUAUGUUUAACCACAGGUGAAAAAACACACUUUCUUUUUGUGUGAAACCUCUAGUAACCAAUCUAGUCUUGAAUCUUGAAGCUUUAGCUCCUGGAAUUCCUUCUUUUCUUUUAAAAAUCCACUUACAGCUUACCAACCUUCUAUUGCCUGGAUUUGUGACAAGAGUCCAAGUCUUGUUCUUAAUUAAGGAAUCCAUUUCUUCUUCCAUGGCUUUGAUCCAGUUACCAGGGUCACUACUCUUCACAGCUUCUCUGUAGCUUGUUGGUUCUUCAAUAGCUAUGUCCUCUACACUGUUAAGGGCAUAAGCUACCAUCCCAGCAUAUGCAUAUUUGGAAGGUGGUUUUGUCUCCCUUCUUGCUCUGUCUCUUGCUAGUUGAUAAUCAUGCAGCUCAAACACUGAAAUUCUUGAAUCAUUCACUUCAAACCUUUCUUGAAAAUCUUCUGUAGCACCUACAUAUUGAUCCCCUCUGUCACUGCUACUUGUUGACUCCACCUCAAUUAUGGAAUCUUUUACUACUAUAGCUUCCUUCAUUGAUUCAUCAGUAUAAGGGGUGAAGUCAAAGACAAUAGUCUUUAUCCUCUAGCAUAGCUUCCUCAUGAAAUGUAACAUCUUUACUGAUGAUACAUUUAUGAGUGGCACCACACCACACCUUAUACCCCUUAACUCCCUCAGGAUAUCCCACAAACACCCCUUUCAGAGCCCUUGAAUCCAGCUUCCCUUGCUUGACAUGCAAAUAGGCUAUACAUCCAAAGAUUCUCAGAUGUUUGUAAUCUGCAAGUACACCAGUCCAGACUUCUUCAGGAGUCUCAAACUUGAGAGCUGCAGAGGGACUCCUGUUAACCAAGUAGCAGGCUGUGGUUAUAGCUUCAGCCUAGAAGCUUCUUGGUAGCUUGGAGUUUAUGAGCGGACAUCUUGUCUUAUCAAUAAGGGUUCUGUUCAUCCUCUCAGCUAAUCCAUUUUGCUAAGGGGUGAACUUGACAGUCUUGUGUCUGGUGAUUCCAUGCUUCUGACAGUACUCAUCAAACUCUUUAUUACAAAAUUUGAGUCCAUUAUCAGUCCUCAAUGCUUUCAGCUUCAUUUCAGACUGAUUCUCAACCAGAGUUCUCCAUAUUUUGAAUUUCCCAAACGCUUGAUCUUUAGUCUUGAGAAUAUAUAACCAGACUUUCCUUGAAAAAUCAUCUAUGAAUGUUACAAUAUAUCUGCCACCACUUAGAGAUGGCACUUGAGCAGGCCCCCAUAGAUUAGAGUGUGCAUAAUCCAAUACAACUUUGGAUUUAUGCAUUCCCCUUUCAAACUUCAUUCUGUGAGCCUUCCCAAAGAUGCAAUUUUCAGAGAACUUUAUCUCUUCAACCUUAUCUCUACAUAACAACCCCCUUUUACUUAGUUCUUAUAAGCCUUUAGCACUCAUGUGCCCAAGUCUUAGAUGCCAUAGCUUGGCUUUAUCUACAUCAGAAACAAUAUACAAUGCAGACAACACAGGUACGGAUGACCCUUCCAGCACAUACAAUCCAUUUUUCAUGACCCUCUUCAUUACUAUACUGGAGUUUUUCAUUACCUUUAAGCCCCCAUGAUCAGACUUAAAGAUAUAUCCUGAGCUAUCUAACAUGCCUAAAGAUAUCAAAUUCUUUUUUAAUCCUGGUACAUGCCUAACAUGCUCUAGGGCCCUUGUGGUUCCAUCAUACAUUCUGAUUUUAACAAAACCAAUUCCCACAAUUUUACAAGCAUUGUGGUUUCCCAUUAAGACCCUACCUCCAUCUAUAAUUUUAUACUCAUGAAAAAGGGUUUUAUCAGGACUCAUAUGGAAAGAACAACUAGAGUUUAGAACCCGCUGACUUUCAAUCUUUCCAUUCGAUGCCACCGGCAAGUCUGUACUUUGAUAGCCUCCAUCAGAUGAUUCAUUAGAUGCUACAGCAACAUCUCCUGAUUUUUCUUUGUUGUCUCUCUUCUUCUCAACACAGUCUCUGAUGUAAUGGCCUGUCUUCUUACAGUAAAACAUUUUCUUCUUUUCAUUUUCUCUUUCUCAGACUUAUCCUCUUUCUUGGACUGAUUCUUGUUCUUCUUUUUCUUCUUAUCUUUCUUCUUUUUCAGCUUUUGCCACCAACCCUUCACUAGGGUUUUGAUCUAGAUCUCCAGAAUUCCUUUGAAUUUCUUUCGAACACAAAGAGGCCUUCACAUCUUCUAGUGUGAGAGUUGUUCUCCCAUAUAGCAUGGUAUCAGCCAAGAAAGCACAUUGCCCAAGAGUUGCUUCACUUUCCAGAUCAGUAACUUUCCAAAAAGCAAGUUCAACAGUAUAACGUUUCUUUUAAACCUACAAUGUUUCUUUUAAGGUCAUAUAACCCAAAACAGACUUUCCUUAGUCUUUAAAAUAGGGUACCAAACCGUUUAAGAAAUCAUCAUAAGUUUUCUGAUGCAUAGGAUCCUUACUGGAAGGCAAGUGCAGAGCAUACUUCCUUAAAGUUUCAAAAUGAACAAAUUUAAUUCUUUAUUCCUUUUCUUUCUCUAGAUCUUCAUUUGCAGAGAGAGAAGAGAGUUUAGAAAUUCAUAGUUUUAUGGAAACACACGAGAGUUUAUUUCUUCGAAAACUUCUAUAUCUUACAAACGAAGGGAGAAUUCUUUAUAUAGGAGAAUUCUCAGAGAAGAUAGGACAUGAUCCCUAUCUUUUACAAAAGCAAAAGUAGAAAAGACACAUCAUGACAGCUUUAAUGAUUACAAAGGACAAAGUGUGCUUUAAUUAAAGCAUGACUUUGACAAAAGCAAAAGCUUAAAGACCUAAACCAAAGCCUAAACCUCAACCACGCCCCAUCAACAUAAAAGGCUUGGCAAGCCCAUUGAGAACUUGUGGGCUCGAUUAGACCUUGGGCUAAUAGUUGUGAGUUGCUGAUCUGGAAAGUGAAGCAACUCUUGGGCAAUGUGCUUUCCUGGCUGAUAAUGGCCGUCCUUUAUGAUCAUCCCAAAAUGACGGAUACCCUGUUUAUCAAGCAAAGCAAAAUGGACAUUUCCUAUAGGAUGUCCCAGGCUCCGGCAUGUGUGACCCAAAUUGUCCCUGCUGGGAUGAUUGGGAAGAGGAUGAUGAUUAUGCCACCAAAAAGAGACCCAAAAAGAAAAAACCUCCAAUCUCAUGUCAACACUGUGAACCCAAAUCCCCAAGAGAUCCUCCACCUCCACCAGCUCCGUUACCCAUCUACAACACAGAACUCAAAUCGAUUGCAAACCUGAGAUUCCGUCCCCCAUCCCAAACUCCACAUCUAUCGUACAACCCUUAGCUUGUAUGAUGUUUUCUUCUCCCUCUUCAGACUACUCUUCCUCCUUUCCUCCAUUAGAAACUCACACAGAUUCCCAAUGAAAUGUGGUAUCCAAACCUUUUAUCCCUUCAGCUAUUACCUCAACUGGCCACCUAGAAUCUCCCAAACCUUUUGAAUCCGUCCUUAACUAGCAAACCCAAAAUGCCAGAGCACAUAAUGAUACUUUGUUGCUUAUUAAUUCAAAAGUUGAGAACAUCAGUUUACGAACUGAACAGAUUGAGAUGAAAGUUGACUCCAUUACUGCACAGAUGCAGCAGAUCCACCACAAUCUUCAAUCCAGAAUUACUCAACUAGAUUCAGAGUUACGAACCAUGCUUGCUCAAAGAUACUAUGGCCCAGAAUUUGACCAAAAAGAAAGGGAAAUUAGAUGCUUAAAAGCUGAGCUUGAUCAGAUUGAAUCUGAAAAACAAAGACCUACCAUUUUUACCACAUCGCCUCCUAUCCCUUCCAUAGGUCCAACUUAUCAUCCAUUUGCCUCUAUGCUUUCCCCCAUCAAACAGUAUAACCCUUCCAAGUUAUUUGGCAUGACUCGUACUCUUUUAAGAGACAAUCCCUUACCACCACCACCUAAACCUAAACCAAAACCUAAACCUCAACCACGCCCCGUCAAAAUUCAUCAGCCAUCCAUGUCCAUUCCUGGACAACAGUCCCCACCGCCCGCACCUCCACUACCACCUCAAUCCCAACCUCAGCCUCAGUCCAAAGACAAAAAACCCAUGCACCAGUAUAGUGCCCACACCGUAGAUCCAUCAUCUACUCCUGAUGAUCAAACUUCUGCUCCAACUUCUAAUUCAAAUCUAGCCAUUUCCAACAGCCAUACUGAGUCUGACACACCAUCUUCAAUAUCCACUAGUGAUUUUGAAAAGUCUUAUGCUGAUAUCACCAGAAUCUUGAUGGCCCAACUUGAUCCACCUGAUCAUGGCCAAACCUCUCACACAGAACCAUAUGUUGAUAUUCCUUCAAAAGUUGACGACGACAUGCCUUAAUUCUCUGCCACACACCAACCCCCUCCAACCCAAGCCCAGACCGGUCCAACAAGUCAAAAAUCGUCAAAUGGUCCAUGGUUCACAUUUGAUGAUCUUCCAUCUCAUAAAUGGAGAGAGAGACUUACUGAAAUGUCUGCUUGGAUUGACCUCCAAAUGCUAAGGCCUAGAGCAACGACUCAAUCAGUCCUUAGAGAAUUUACUACUCGUUUUACGAGUGCUCUAAGAGAUUGGUUUGAUUCUUUAGGCCAAUACAGACAAUUACAGUUUGUUCAAUUACCAGAAGUCUCAAGUGCCCUUGCGGUUAUUCAUGACCAAUUCCUUGGAGACCCCUCUGCAGUUUUUGAAGCUGCACGACGAGACUAUCUCAACAUGAAAUGCUGCUCACUCAAUGCUAAGGAUCUUGACUUUCAUUACAAACGAAUGUCCUUGCUGUUCUAUAAGCUUAAUGGCUUCAAUGAGCCAACGUUAAAGCAUGUCUUUCUGGCUUCCUUUCCAGACGAGCUCCAACCCGAUAUACAACGGCAACUCACCGCCUCCAAUCUCAUCCUUGACAACCUCUCUCUUGGAAAAAUCUUCUAGAUUGCCAAAGCAUGCUUUGAUAAACUUUGCGAGUAGAAACAGUUUUUCAAAGAACUGUUGAGAGAUAACGAACCAUUCAGGAGUGCCUGCAAAAAGCCCUAUUUGCAGAUCACAUGUAAAAAGAAAAAGGAUUGUGAUUGCAGUUCUAAGAAGAAAAGGCAUUUUCAUAAAUUCAAAAAUCCAGAAGUUUCAUCCAAACCCCGCAGGUCCAGAAAGCCCUACCGAUUCUUCAGAAAAAAAGCAUCUUCCUCUAGAGAAUUCAAACGAAAAUCAUCAAGCAAAUGUUUCAUCUACAAGAGGAAAGGUCAUUAUGCUAAAGAUUGUCCCAACAAACGAGAGAAAUCCAUCCGGCAAGUCGAACAUCUUCAAGCCACUACAGACUACUCUCCCGCGAUGGAUGAACUGGAAUUCUAUUUCUCUGAGCAAGAUGAACCCAAUGAUGAAACCGUGUUCGCAUUACAAAAUUCCUCUGAUGAUUCAGACAGUGAUGUGUCUCAAGUUAUCUUCCACUAAGAAUUAAUGUCCCUUGACACUACUGUUCCUAUACCCUCCAUCAAACUCCAUAUCUUGCCCUCAAAAUUCCAAAGGCCCAUUCCAGCAAUUGGCCUUAUAGAUACUAGCGCCCAACACAGCAUGUUAAACCCCAAUAUCCUUCCACCUAAAUACUAGACAAAGUACGAAGAAAAUUUCAGGGCCGUCAAUGGCAAAUUUUUCACUACCUUUUUGAUUACCAACAAACCCAUUGGUAUUCAAAUCUUCCCAAAUUGUGUCAUUUGGACCAAGAUUAUCGGUUCAACCCUUCCUAAUAAGGAUAUCUUGUUAGGAUUUGACAUACUUCACCAAAUCACACACCUCCAAAUCAUUCCCACUGGAAUCUGAGUCAAGUCCAUGUUCAAACCAUUCACAGACAUUCUGAAACUCUACAAUUUGUCUGAUACUCCCCAGUCCUACUAGGAUAUUUCAUCCCAUCUUUUGCGUUUCUGUCCAGAGUCCCAUUCUAAGUUCACCCAUCCAACUCCAUUGUGGAAAAACCCGUCUUUCUUUAUUAAGUUACCUUUCAAACUCAAUGAAGACAUUAACCCGACCAAAGCUACUCAUCCAGGAAUGAGUCCUUCUGACUUACUCCUAGCCCAAAAAGAAUGUUCACAACUGUUAGCCCAAGGUCUAAUCGAGCCCACAAGUUCUCAAUGGGCUUGCCAAGCCUUUUAUGUUGAAAAGCAUUCUGAAAUUGUCCGAGGAAAGAAACGCUUAGUCAUUGACUAUCAACCACUAAAUAUGUUUUUGCAAGAUGACAAAUUUCCUUUGCCUCGAUGACAAAGCAUGUUUACUUUUUCUAAAAAAUGCCCAGAUCUUUUCCAAAUUUGAUUUAAAAUUAGGUUUUUGGCAAUUAGGCAUUGAACCCUCGGAGCGUUAAAAAACUACCUUUUGUAUCCCAAAUGCCCAUUAUCAAUGGACAGUCCUUCCCUUCGGCCUCAAAACUGCCUCAUCCAUUUUUCAAAAAUCCAUGGUCAAAAUCUUUCACCCUAUUCUGCAUCAUACAUUAAUUUACAUUGAUGAUAUCUUGCUUUUUUCAGGAUCACAUGAUGUACAUCACCAGCUGUUAACUCAAUUCUAUGAUAUUGUCAAAAGUCAUGGAAUCAUGCUGUCUGCCAAGAAAAGCACCAUUCCCACGAAUAACAUUGAAUUCCUUGGUAUGAUCAUAAAGGACGGUCAUUAUCAGCCAGGAAAGCACAUUGCCCAAGAGUUGCUUUACCUUCCAGAUCAGCAACUUUCCAAAAAGCAAGUUCAACAGUUUCUCGGCAUUAUCAAUUACAUCAGAGACUUCAUCCCGCAUGUGGACCGCUAUACUCACCACCUCUCGGCUUUAUUGAAAAAGAAGCCCCUAGAGUGGAAUGCUGACUACACAACUGCUGUCACUACCCUCAAACAAAUUGCGCAAAGUAGUUUGUCUUGUUGUAAUAAUUAUGUUCUACAUUAUGGUUUUGCCUAUAUAAUUAUUAAGGCUUGCUUUUACUUUAAGCUUUUGCUUUUGUCAAAGUCAUGCUUUAAUUAAAGCACACUUUGUCCUUUGUAAUCAUUAAAGUUGUCAUGAUAUGUUUUUUCUACUUUUGCUUUUGUAAAAGAUAGGGGUCCUGUCCUAUCUUCUCCGAGAAUUCUCCUAUAUAAAGAAUUCUCCCUUCGUUUGUAAGAUCUGUUUUCGAAGAAAUAAACUCUCGUGUGUUUCCAUAAAACUAUGAAUUUCUAAACUCUCUUCUCUCUCUGCAAAUGAAGAUCUAGAGAAAGAAAAGGAAUAAAGAAUUAAAUUUGUUCAUUUUGAAACUUUAAGGAAGUAUGCUCUGCACUUGCCUUCCAGUAAGGAUCCUGUGCAUCAGAAAACUUAUGAUGAUUUCUUAAAUGGUUUGGUACCCUGUUUUAAAGACUAAGGAAAGUCUGUUUUGGGUUAUAUGACCUUAAAAGAAAUGUUGUAGGUUUAAAAGAAACGUUGUAGAUUUUACUAUUUUCAAGAGUAGAUGCACAUUCUAUGUCAAUGAUAUAAACAUUACCACAUCUAUUCCCAACAAAUAAGAUCUUGCCAUCACAUGAAUUCUCAAUAACACAACUAAAUUUAUCAAAGAUAACUUUAUAACCUUUGUCACAUAAUUGACUAAUACUAAUUAAGUUGUGUUUCAAGUUCUCAACCAAACAUACAUUCUCAAUUAGAGUUGAGGAAACUUUACCAACAUUUCCAAUUCCAUGAAUUUUUCCUUUUGAGUUGUCUCCAAAAGAUACGUCUCCACCAUUUUCAAUUUUGGUGAAGCUUGAGAAUCAUGCAUAGUUUCCGGUCAUGUGCCUUGAACAACCACUGUCCAAGUACCAUUUAUUUUACAGUGGGGACCACGGCAAGGUGGAUAAGGGCAAUCUCUUCGGUAUCCCGGCUUGGAGGGUGAUGACUGGGACUUGGGGCUUGGCAUCUGAGUGGCCUUGUCAACUUUGGAGGGUUGGGAUGAUGAUCCUGGUUCAUACAUGGUUGGUUGUGGAAACUGUUAGAGAUGUUGGCUUAGAGGAAGGAAUUCUUCCCAUGGGUCUUGGGAGUCUUGGUAAAGGAAGUCAGUGUGGUCUGGUUUUCCUUCUUUGAUGAUGAUUCUUGUGGACUUUGGUUUGGAUAUGGCGGAUGGAGUGGGGAUCAUGAUGAGGUCAUGUUGUGGUCCUAAGGAGGUGUGAAAGAUAUCCCAGUGUGGUGGAGUUUGGUGGUUCAAUUAACAAAGAUAGUUGUGCAGGUUGGAUUGGAUUUCAUUGUCAAUGACAGCUGGGUGAGGUGCGAUAAACCAUUCAUAUACCUGGUCUUGAGUCCAAAAGAGAUUUGUGUUUGGAUGUUGGAAGUAUGGCCUGUGAAUGAUAAAUACUGAUGUAAAAAAUUAUGCUUCAGAGGCAGGCAUACGUUCAAGAUUGUAAAUCUCUGACAGUUGUUGUAGCUUCUUUCUCCACCAUGGUAUUGGGGAGAACCAUUCAAGUAAUGUCCAGGUAAGAGAGGUGGCUUUGUCUGGAUUAAGGAGAUUGUUCAAAGUGGGAGUGAUUGGUAGGACGAGCUUGGUUGCAUAAAGAACAGUUAGGCACCAGACGUACCAUAACUCAUCUUCAGUGAUUUCGCUGGACGGAGCAAGGGUUAAACCUGUAAGGAACAGAUUUUCUGGGUGGAAGGUGGAAAAUGGAAAUGAGUCUGCCAAAAGGUAGGCUUUCAUGAAGAAGCAGAAAACAGCUUUCCUUGCAAACUCUUGGAUAGCAAAGAUAGAAGAGAAAGUUUUGUUAAGGGGAAAAGUUUUCUUGGUGAGAGCUUCUGGUGGAAGUGAUGUGGCCAUGGAGAUGAUCGGAAAUUGGUAUGUUGUGGAAAUCAAGGUUAGAGGGUUUUCUGGUUUUGAGAGUCUGGAUAGCAUAUCAGGGAUGAGGUUCUGGGGCCCCUUUAUAUUCUUAACCGAAAAAUCAUAUUUGGAAAACCAAUCUUUUAAUCGUAGUAACAUCUUUUCUGGGACAGCUUUACCUUUGAAAUUGAGAAUAUUGGGGAAGGCUGAAUUGUCCAAUCGGAUGAGAAAAUGAUGUCCAAUAAGAUGAUACUCAAAUUUUUUGAUGCCAUGCUUUACCGCUAAGAUUUCUUUGAAUAUGCUAUGGUAAUGCUUCUGUGUGUCAGAAAUUUGUCCGCUAGCGUAAGCGAUAAAGUAUUCUUUGCUGUUGAGUUCUUCGAGGAGGAUGGCACCCCAUGAUUCAUCACUUGCGUCUGUUUGCAGUAUGCACUUUCCAUCAGUAAUUAACUUUAAGGGAGGUGGAUUUUGCGCAAUUUGCUUGAGGGUAGUGACAGCAGUUGUGUGGUCAGCAUUCUACUCUGGGGGCUUCUUUUUCAAUAAAGCCGAGAGGUGGUGAGUAUAGCGGUCCACAUGCGAGAUGAAGUCUCUGAUGUAAUUGAUAAUGCCGAGAAACUGUUGAACUUGCUUUUUGGAAAGUUGCUGAUCUGGAAGGUAAAGUAACUCUUGGGCAAUGUGCUUUCGAGGCUGAUAAUGGCCGUCCUUUAUGAUCAUACCAAGGAAUUCCAUGUUAUUCGUGGGAUGGUGCUUUUCUUGGCAGAUAGCAUGAUUCCAUGACUUUUGACAAUAUCAUAGAAUUGAGUUAACAGCUGGUGAUGUGCAUCAUGUGAUCCUGAAAAAAGUAAGAUAUCAUCAAUGUAAAUUAAUGCAUGAUGCAGGAUAGGGUGAAAGAUUUUGACCAUGGAUUUUUGAAAAAUGGAUGGGGCAGUUUUGAGGCCGAAGGGAAGGACUGUCCAUUGAUAAUGGGCAUUUGGGAUACAAAAGGCAGUUUUGUAAUGCUCCGAGGGUUCAAUGCCUAAUUGCCAAAAAUCUAAUUUUAAAUCAAAUUUGGAAAAGAUCUGGGCAUUUUUUAGAAAAGUAAACAUGCUUUGUCGUCGGGGCAAAGGAAAUUUGUCAUCUUGCAAAAACAUAUUUAGUGGCUGAUAGUCAAUGACUAAGCGUUUCUUUCCUCAGACAAUUUCAGAAUGCUUUUCAACAUAAAAGGCUUGGCAAGCCCAUUGAGAACUUGUGGGCUCGAUUAGACCUUGGGCUAACAGUUGUGAACAUUCUUUUUGGGCUAGGAGUAAGUUAGAAGGACUCAUUCCUGGAUGAGUAGCUUUGGUCGGGUUAAUGUCUUCAUUGAGUUUGAAAGGUAACUUAAUAAAGAAAGACGGGUUUUUCCAUAAUGGAGUUGGAUGGGUGAACUCAUAAUGGGACUCUGGAUAGAAACGCAAAAGAUGGGAUGAAAUAUCCUGGUAGGACUGGGGAGUAUCAGACAAAUUGUAGAGUUUCAGAAUGUCUGUGAAUGGUUUGAACAUGGACUUGACUCGGAUUCCAGUGGGAAUGAUUUGGAGGUGUGUGAUUUGGUGAAGUAUGUCAAAUCUUAACAAGAUAUCCUUAUUAGGAAGGGUUGAACCGAUAACCUUGGUCCAAAUGACACAAUUUGGGAAGAUUUGAAUACCAAUGGGUUUGUUGGUAAUCAAAGAGGUAGUGAAAAAUUUACCAUUAACGGCCUUGAAAGUUUCUUUGUACUUUGUCCAGUAUUUAGGUGGAAGGAUAUUGGGGUUUAACAUGCUGCGUUGGGCACCAGUAUCUAUAAGGCCAAUUGCUGGAAUGGGCCUUUGGAAUUUUGAGGGCAAGAUAUGGAGUUUGAUGGAGGGUAUAGGAACAGUAGUGUCAAGGGACAAUAAUUCUUGGUGGAAGAUAACUUGAGACACAUCACUGUCGGAAUCAUCAGAGGAAUUUUGUAAUGCGAACACGGUUUCAUCAUUGGGUUCAUCUUGCUCAGAGAAAUAGAAUUCCAGUUCAUCUGUCGCGGGAGAGUAGUCUGUAGUGGCUUGAAGAUGUUCGACUAGUUGGAUGGAUUUCUCUCGUUUGUUGGGACAAUCUUUAGCAUAAUGACCUUUCCUCUUAUAGAUGAAACAUCUGCUUGAUGAUUUUCAUUUGAAUUCUCUAGAGGAAGAUGAUUUUUUUCUGAAGAAUCGGUAGGGCUUUCUGGACCUGCGGGGUUUGGAUGAAACUUCUGGAUUUUUGAAUUUUCGAAAAUGCCUUUUCUUCUUAGAACUACAAUCACAAUCCUUUUUUUUAUAUAUUUGAUCUGCAAAUAGGGCUUUUUUGCAGGCACUCUUGAAUGGUUCGUUAUCUCUUAACAAUUCUUUGAAAAACUGUUUCUGCUCGCAAAGUUUAUCAAGGCAUGUUUUGGCAAUCUAGAAGAUUUUGCCAAGAGAGAGGUUGUCAAGGAUGAGAUUGGAGGCGGUGGGUUGCCGUUGUAUAUCGAGUUGGAGCUCGUCUGGAAGGGAAGCCAGAAAGACAUGCUUUAAUGUUGGCUCAUUGAAGCCAUUAAGCUUAUAGAACAGCAAGGACAUUCGUUUUUAAUGAAAGUCAAGAUCCUUAGCAUUAAGUGAGCAGCAUUUCAUGUUGAGAUAGUCUCGUCGUGCAGCUUCAAAAACUGCAGAGGGGUCUCCAAGGAAUUGGUCAUGAAUAACCGCAAGGGCACUUGAGACUUCUGGUAAUUGAACAAACUGUAAUUGUCUGUAUUGGCCUAAAGAAUCAAACCAAUCUCUUAGAGCACCUGUAAAACGAGUAGUAAAUUCUCUAAAGACUGAUUGAGUCGUUGCUCCAGGCCUUAGCAUUUGGAGGUCAAUCCAAGCAGACAUUUCAGUAAGUCUCUCUCUUCAUUUAUGAGAUGGAAGAUCAUUAAAUGUGAACCAUGGACCAUUUGAUGAUUUUUGACUUGUUGGACCGGUUUGGGCUUAGGCUGGAGGGGGUUGGUAUGUAGCAGAGAAUUCAGGCAUGUCGUCGUCAACUUCUGAAGGAAUAUCAACAUAUGGUUCUAUGUGAGAGGUUUGGCCAUGAUCAAGUGGAUCAGGUUGGGCCAUCAAGAUUCUGGUGAUAUCAGCAUAGGACUUUUCAGAGUCACUAGUGGAUACUGAAGAUGCUGUGUCAGACUCAGUAUGGCUGUUGGAAAUGGCUAGAUUUGAAUCAGAAGUUGGAGCAGAAGUUUGAUCAUCAGGAGUAGAUGAUGGAUCUAUGGUGUGGGCACUAUACUGGUGCAUGGGUUCUUUGUCUUUGGACUGAGGCUGAGGUUGGGAUUGAGGUGGUAGUGGAGGUGCGGGCGGUGGGGACUGUUGUCUAAGAAUGGACAUGGAUGGCUGAUGAAUUUUGACGGGGCGUGGUUGAGGUUUAGGUGGUGGUGGUAAGGGAUUGUCUCUGAAAAGAGUACGAGUCAUGCCAAAUAACUUGGAAGGGUCAUACUAUUUGAUGAGGGAAAGCAUAGAGGCAAAUGGAUGAUAAGUUGGACCUAUGGAAGGGAUAGGAGGCGAUGUGGUAAAAAGGGUAGGUCUUUGUUUUUUAGAUUCAAUCUGAUCAAGCUCAGCUUUUAAGCGUCUGAUUUCCCUUUCUUUUUGGUCAAAUUCUGGGCCAUAGUAUCUUUGAGCAAGCAUGGUUCGUAACUCUGAAUCUAGUUGAGUAAUUCUGGAUUGAAGAUUGCGGUGGAUCUACUGCAUCUGUGCAGUAAUGGAGUCAACUUUCGUCUCAAUCUGUUCAGUUCGUAAACUGAUGUUCUCAACUUUUGAAUUGAUUUGCAACAAAGUAUCAUUCUGUGCUCUGGCAUUUUGGGUUUGCCAGUUAAGGACGGAUUCAAAAGGUUUGGGAGACUCUAGGUGGCCAGUUGAGGUAAUAGCUGAAGGGAUAAAAGGUUUGGAUACCACAUUUCGUUGGGAAUCUGUGUGAGUUUCUAAUGGAGGAAAGGAGGAAGAGUAGUCUGAAGAGGGAGAAGAAACAUCAUACAAGCUAGGGAUUGUACGAUAGGUGUGGAGUUUGGGAUGGGGGACGGAAUCUCAGGUUUGCAAUGCUUUGCAAUCCAUUUGAGUUCUAUGUUGUAGAUGGGUAACGGAGCUAGUGGAGGUGGAGGAUCUCUUGGGGAUUUGGGUUCACAAUGUUGACAUGAGACUGGAGGCUUUUUCUUUUUGGGUCUCUUUUUGGUGGCAUAAUCAUCGUUCUCUUCCUAAUCAUCCCAGCAGGGACAAUUUGGGUCACACAUGCCGGAGCCUGGGACAUCCCAUAGGAAAUGUCUAUUUUGCUUUGCUGGAUAAACAGGGUAUCCGUUAGAAUUAAACCCUGUAAUGGACAGAUCUUCCUGAGCUAUCUGAAUAGCUGUGAUCAUUGAAGAAUAGGUAAAGGAGAGCCAAGGGGGCUCUUGUGGAGCACUUGGAGGUGGUUUAAAAGUCAUUCAGAAUGUUCCAUCUUGUCGUCUUUCAAACAUGCUUUCAAAAGUUUGAAUUGGGGCUGUAUUGGUAUGGAACUACUCAUAAUUGGAGAUCCAUUCAAGAGGCAUAAGCUUGAUAAGCUCAUGAUGGGGAAGUUGUCGUGGGAUCUGGAUGAUUGUGGGAAUUUGGUCAGAUUCUGCUAACACCAUGAGGGUGUCAGAGUGGUGUUCUGGAGUGGGUAGAUCUAAGGCAUGAUUUUGAAGCCUAUAAAUGUUUUUCAGCAUUGCAUGAUAAUAGUUGGUUAUGGCAUAGAAGGUUAGGACAUGCAAGUAUGGAUUUGAUUUCGAAAAUUUUGAAAAAUGAUUUAGUUAAAGGUCAAUUUGGAAAACAAUCAAAACAUCUUUCAAAAAUAAAAAUCAUAUUUUUACUUCAAAACCACUUCAACUUCUUCACAUAGAUUUAUUUGAGCCUUCUAGAUAUGCUAGUCUAAAUGACAAAUGUUAUACAUUUGUGAUAGUGGAUGAUUAUUCUAGAUUUACAUGGGUAUUAUUCUUAGCCAAUAAGGAUGAUGCUCUUGAUGCCUUUAAAGUGCUUUGUAAGAAAAUACAAAAUGAAAAAGGGUAUGGUAUUGCAUGCAUUAGGAGUGAUCAUGGAGGAGAGUUUGAAAAUCAUGCAUUUGAGAUUUUUUGUAAUGAUUUUGGCAUUGAGCAUCAAUUUUCAUCACCUAGAACUCCACAACAAAAUGGAGUUGUUGAGAGAAAGAAUAGAUCCAUUCAAGAAAUGGCUAGGACUAUGUUGAAUGAAAAUUCAUUGUCUAAGUAUUUUUGGGCCGAGGCCAUCAACACCGCUUGUUAUGUUUUAAAUCGUGUGUUGAUUAGACCUAACCUUAACAAAACUCCAUAUGAGCUUUGGAAACUUAGAAAACCCAAUAUUGGUUAUUUCAAAGUUUUUGGAUGCAAAUGUUUUAUUUUGAACACAAAAGAUAAUCUUGGCAAAUUUCAUCCAAAAUCCGAUGUUGGUAUUUUUCUUGGAUAUUCAAACUCAAGCAAAGUUUAUAGAGUUUAUAACAAAAGAACUCUAGUUGUAGAAGAAUCUAUGCAUGUUACAUUUGAUGAGUCUAACCCCUCUUUUGCGGAGAAAGGAAUUAUUUAUGAUGAUGCAGAUGGAGAAUUACAAGAAGAAUCAUCAAAGAAUAAACAAGAAAAUGCACCACAAAGAAAUCAAGAGGAUGGACAAGAAGAACAAACAAAUAUGGAGCAACAUGAAGGUACUUCUCAAGCACUCCCCAAGGAGUGGAGGUAUGUUUCUUCUCAUCCUAAGGAUGUAAUUUUAGGAGAUCCCUCACGAGGUGUUACAACUAGAUCAUCACUUAAGAAUACUUGUGAGCAUAAUGCAUUUAUUUCUCAAAUUGAACCCAAAUCCUUUGCGGAUGCGGAAAAUGAUGAAUCUUGGAUUAUGGCAAUGCAAGAGGAGUUAAAUCAAUUUGAAAGAAACAAUGUGUGGGAAUUAGUUCCUAAACCGGAACAUCAAUCCGUCAUAGGUACUAAAUGGGUAUUUAGAAAUAAGAUGGAUGAAUCCGGUGUGGUUGUAAGAAAUAAAGCUAGAUUAGUGGCUCAAUGUUACAACCAAGAAGAAGGAAUUGAUUUUGAUGAAACUUUUGCACCUGUAGCUAGACUAGAAUCAAUUAGAAUGCUGUUGGCAUUUGGUUGUCAUAAAGAUUUCAUUUUAUUUCAAAUCGAUGUGAAAAGUGCUUUCUUAAAUGGUUAUAUUAUGGAAGAAGUAUAUGUAAAACAACCUCCUGGUUUUGAAAAUGAAAAAUUUCCAAAUCAUGUUUAUAAGUUGUUUAAAGCUUUAUAUGGAUUAAAACAAGCACCUAGAGCAUGGUAUGAUAGGCUUAAAAAUUUCUUAUUAGAAAAUGAUUUUUCCAUGGGUAAAGUGGAUACUACUCUCUUUGUUAAGCAUAAGAACCAAGAUAUACUUAUUGUUCAAAUUUAUGUUGAUGAUAUUAUUUUUUGUUCUACUAAUGAGUUGUUGUGUAAAGAAUUUUCAUCGUGUAUAAGCAAAGAAUUUGAGAUGAGUAUGAUGGGAGAGUUGGAGUACUUCCUUGGACUCCAAAUCAAACAAAACGAGGAAGGAAUUUUCAUAAAUCAAGCCAAGUACAUAAGAGAUCUACUCAAACGAUUUGGCAUUGAUGACUCAAAGACCAAAAAUACACCAAUGAGCACAACAACCAAGCUCGUCAAAGAUGAAAAAGGCAAAGAAGUGGACAUCAAAAUGUAUCGAGGUAUGAUUGGAUGUUUACUUUAUUUGACUGCAAGUAGACCCGAUAUCAUGUUUAGUGUAUGUUUGUGUGCAAGAUUUCAAUCAUGUCCCAAGGAAUCCCAUUUGCUUACUGUUAAAAGAAUUUUCCGUUAUUUGAAUGGAACCAUAGAUAUUGGCUUUUGGUAUCCUAGAGGAACUCAUAUAGAUUUAACAUGCUAUUCGGAUGCGGACUUUGCUGGUUAUAAAGUUGAUAGGAAAAGCACUAGUGGAACUCGCCAUAUCCUAGGUCACUCACUUGUUUCAUGGUUUAGUAAGAAACAAAAUUCUGUUGCACUCUCAACUACCGAGGCUGAAUAUAUAGCUGCAGGAAGCUAUUGUGCACAAGCUCUUUAGAUGAAACAAACACUUAGAGACUAUGGUAUUAACCUAGAACAAAUUCCUAUUAAGUGUGAUAAUACUAGUGCUAUAAAAUUUUCAAAGAAUCCCAUUCAACACUCCCGAACUAAGCAUAUAGAAAUAAGACAUCAUUUCUUAAGAGAUCAUGUUCAAACAAGAGAUAUUGCAUUGGAGUUUAUUUCUAUGGAAAAACAACUUGCCGAUAUUUUUACAAAACCACUUUGCGAAGAACAAUUUUCAAAAAUUCGGCAUGAACUUGGGAUGAUGAAAUUUUUGCAUUAACAUCUUGAUUCAUGUUAUUGAGUCUAUUAAAAUUGAUUGAUUUAUGAUUUGAUGUUUUAAUAUCAAUGGAAUGCUCAAUAUACAUGUGAAGUGUGUGUAUUUUUUUUUUUUUUGAAAAAUGUAUGAAUAAAUUGUUGAAAUAUAUACAUGUUCAUGAAUUAUGCAUUGAAUUGGCACUUAAAUCAUUUUGGAUCAAUGAAAUGAUCUUGAAAUAUAUUAAUUGUUGGCCAAAUACUAAAAUAAAUGUGCGAAAUCAUACGUUGUAGAAAACAAAUUGCCGUUAUUUCAAUAAACGACUAACCGUUUUAGGGCAGAAACAAUGGGGAAUUCUCUGGACUCUGUCGGCUCGCCGUCCUGAUGAAAAAUUUUGGGGAGCUCUCUAGACGCUGUCGGCUCGCCGAUAUCUCUAUAACUGCUCGCCGUUAUCGUGCGAUAAGUGAACAGUCCUUUGUCUUCUUCUUUAUUUCGUUCUUGCUCUCUCUCUCUCUCUCAAACCUGCGACUAACACUUCGUCUCUCUCUCAAAUCCACCAUUUUUCUUGCUCUCUCUCAUCAAAUUAAACCAUUUGAAACCUUUCUCAUCUUGUUUUGAACCUUUUUAACUGAUCAAAACUCAUUUUUGAUUUAAAAUUUGAGAAAUCCCAAGUUUCAAACCCUAGAACCAGCCACACUUCUCUUGCCAAAAUUGAGCCAAAUUUCUUCCAAUUUCAAUCACAUUUCAACUUGACAUUACUCUCUCAUCACUCAAACUUUAUUUCUCCCAAUUCAAAUUUCUCCAAACUCAUCAAUGGCAGAACGAUCACAGAGGCGUGCUCGAACCAAGCACACUGCUCCGGGUCGUUCCAGUCCCUCCAGGCCUCCCUUUCAGGACUUUGAGGGCCUCCAUUUUUCAAAUAACACCUCUGCUCAGUGAUUUCGUGACAAAUUCAUGGGCAAACCAGUAACUCCCUCAUUUUCUCUUAACAUUACGGAGUUUUUAGAUAUUACCAUUUGUGGUCGUACUAUUACUCAAUUGCUUAGCCAUUGGAAUGAAGCCUUAAGUAUAGAAGAGCCCAUCCAUGAAAAUCUAGUCCGUGUCUUUUAUUCUAAUAUGGAACUCUCCUCUUCCCGUUGAGUUGAACUUUAUACUUAUGUAAGAGGAAUUCGUAUUGCGUUUGAUGAGACAGAAUUAUGUAGUAUUCUUGGAAUUUCUUAUGGAGGCUUAGACAUUUACACCGCUAGGAAAGAACUUGAAUUUAGUGAUUUAUGUCCUAUGGAUGGUGUACGGAACAUUUGUAGACGUUGGGAUCUUUCCGAUGACGUAUGUUAAAUGACGUAUGUUAAAGGAUCUUUGUCCUUUAGGUCUCAACUCCUCCCUUUCCAGGUUCGAAUACUUCAUAUCAUUCUCCAACAAAUGGUCACCCCUAGACAGGGUCACAUUGAUGAGGUAACUCGACUUGAUGUUGGUUUAUUAGAUUCGUAGACGACAUGUGAGUUUCUCCUACACUAUCCUUUGUCAUAUGAUGUCCACACCCAGAGUCUCCAACCGAUCCCUUCCAUAUGGCAGCAUCAUUACUAGGAUCUUGAAAUUCUUUAGAGUACCUAUCACUGAGCCUGUUUAUCUCGAGACCCGUAAGCUCGGUCGAGAGAUUAUUUCUGCGAUCGGAUUUUUUAAGAAGUGUGGGAAGUGGGAAAAGACAACAUCCUCUAAGAAUGAAGAUACUAUGCUUGCACCAGUGGAUGAUCGUAUGUUAAAUGACGUCUAUUCUGAGGAUGAGUUACCCGAUUUCCGCCUUGGGGCUAGACCACGGGUCCCUCGCAGAGCAGCAGCAGCAUCAGCAGUAGCAUCAGCAGCAGUACCAGCAGCAGCAUCAGUACCAGCAGCUUCCUCUCCGGAUGACGAGCCAGCCGUCCCUCCUGCAGCAUCGACCGUUCCUGCGGAUUGUUUUUAGCAACUUUUUGACAAAGUGGAUGUCCUGUCCCAGUGCAGCAGCAGCUUCAAUCUGACUUUGCGACCUUUCAGCAGCAAAUGUUAGAUCAGCAAAUGGAGUUAAUUGCUGGCCAGCACCAUAUUCUUGGUUAUUUUGGUUAUGACCUAGGCAAUUCUUCUUCACAGCGCCCGUCUUAGUUUUUCUGCCCCUUUGUUUUUCGCACAAACAUUACUCAUUUCACGUAGUUUGUUGUGACGUUUAUCUUUGGUUAUGUUUUUGAUUCUUUUAUGAUUUUUUUAUUGGAUAUAUGGUCUUUAUUUAUGCUUGAUGAUAUCUUGAUUAUAUUGAUGAUAUGUUUGACUAUUGGAAUGGAGGUUGGUUGAUAAGUUGAACUAUAUAUAUGGGAGUGUUUUAACUAUUUUUUUGUUGAGGAUAUGUUCCUUUUUAAGGGGAGACUCUGCCGAAAUUUUUUUUCAACAUGGGUAAUCUCUAAACCUCUCUUUUUACUCUUUUCAUGCUCAUUUCUUUUUUAUGAUGAAGGGGGAGAUAAUUUAUCAAUUCAAUCUGUUCUGUUUAAAUUUUUUUUAUGAGAUUAAAAAUAAAUGGACACAUAUUUAAGGAAAGUUAAACUUUCUUAAAUAUUUCACUUAGGGGGAGCACAUAUUUAGGGUAGCAAACAUGGCGUAACAUCACUUAAGACCAAAGAUAAUACAAAUACUAAAAUUUGAAAGUCAUCAUGUCAUCCAAUGUUAAAAAAUCACACAAUUUUUUUAAAAAAACGAAAGUCUACCCCCCAACCUAUUCUAAACAUGAAAAGAAAAUAUGCAUGUAGAAAGGUGAAAAUGAUGCAGAAAAACUAAUUAGAAAAGUUACACUUAAAAAGAUAGAAAAAGAAAAUGGUUUUUUUUUAACUAAGAAGAUGCGUUUCUAGAGCCACUACACUCUAUAUUCAGCCAUCUUUGACUCAAAUAAUUUGAAAGUGUAUAUUUAUAAAGGAGAAAUUAGAAAGAAGAAGAAAAAUGAUUGUAAAAACUUAAUAAAGAGAAAGAAAAUAUCUGAAUUUUUUUGUUUUUUUUUUAAACGAAGAAGAUGCGUUUCUUGAGUAACUACACUCCAUAUUCAGCCAUCUUCAACACAAAAAGUUAGCCACAGUUAGUCUCUACAACAAAAAAGUAGUAAAAACUUAACCAAGAUUGCACAAUUGUCGACUAUUGCCUCCCCCCAACCAGAACGAAACAUUGUCCUCAAUGUUUUAAAGGAAAAAAGUAGAGUUUAGAAGACAUCACCUGGGUGGUGCAACAUAGAAGAAAAUAUUUACAAGCGAAGAGUUAAAUCUAAUUUGUACUUCUUAUUGCGGCUACUGUUACCAUCAUUAUUUGGAUGCUCCAACACAAAGGUCCAGGGAUCUGGCUCCGGUUUAUAAUAGAUCAAGUAGCUUAUUAGCAGUGUGAGCACAAAUAAAAAGCUUUUUCGCUGUGGAAGGAAUUAAAUAGUUUUUUAUUGCAUGGUUAAAAAAUGCGAUAAAGCCAUCAUAAAAGUUAUUGACAUUUAACAAAACAAUGGGUUUAUGGUGAAUGUACAGAUGGGCCCAAGAUGCUAAUGUGAUAAGUGCCUCUAGAGUUGUAAGAUCUCCUGAUAGAAAAAUAAAAGCAUCAUCAUGAUUAAGCAUUUUAGUUAUUCUUUCUUGCAUACCUGAGACGACUAACUCUUCUCCAGUCGAUGAGUCAGACAAACUGCCCAACGGUUUUAGGGCUCUUGGGAUGAUGCCUAACACUUGACUUCCUCUGACAAAAGCAGCUUCUGAGACUAAUUUUGAUAACCCUCGGUUACCUCCUCCAUACACCAAGUGUAAUUUUCUAUCUGCUGUGCUUCGACCAAGAUCUAUGGCUGCCUCAACGAACUCUUUAUGUUUGCCAGAGUUAAAUCCAGAAAGCACACAAAUGUUCUUGAAUUGUCUAUUGGGAGUAGCUGUCGUUGGGAUACUUGUCAAAAACAAUUUUUGAGUGCUUAACAAAAAGUCAUAUUUAAGAAUCUUAGUGACCGUGGGUCACAACUGUGUAUGAGGUUGCAUGUCAGUGUCAAAUAACGCGUAAAGCACAUGGCUCGCGAGUCAAAAAGGAAACAAUAAAAAGAAAAGGAAACAAUGAUAAAAUAAAAUUAUUAAAGACAGUAAUGCAAAUGAUAAAACAACUGUGAAAUAAAAUAACAGUGAAGUAAAAGGAUAUUUACAGGUAGUUGCUACUGUGGAUCACAUCUUCCUCUGGUUUACGUCCAUAAACGGCUUGAAAGCCCUUUAUGGGUCGUUUAUAGUCAGAGUCCCGAGACUAUAUCGUGCAUACUCUUUCUGGAAUAAUGGCCAUAACUGGAGAAUCGCUCCUUGCACAUAUCCACUGGGAUGUGUUUCAAGAGACAAAAUGAUAUCAUACAAUGACUCCUUAUUCAAGCCAUCCCUAAUGAAUUGAAUCUUAUCUUCCCUGUUAUCAGACACCAUUCCUAAAGAACAUGGUUUUUUAUCGCAACUCAUUUUGGCACACUUAUGACAAGCAACAGAAAUUUUUCGAGCUCUUCAUUUUCUUGCAUAAUUUCCUUUACCACAACCAGGCAUGUAUGCAAUAAAUUUUAGAGGUAACUCACCUACCAAUCGUACUUUAGCCUCGAUUAACCAAGGGAUGUCAGUAGGUAUGUUAUUCCUCAUGAGCAAUCGCAUGCAUUCGGACUGAGCUUUAUGGAUUGUAAGGAGGGCAUUCUGAGGAAGUGAAGGGAAUCGAUUGUGAAGCUUUGCUAGAAUCUCAUUUUUGUCUAUACCUUCGCCUCAGAAGAUCAAUUAUUAUGGGAAAUUGAAGUAACCGACUUGAUUGUCACGGAGUACCGUUAUCUGCCACUUCACCGGGGUAACAAACUAAAGCACACAAACAAAUAAAAACAAACUAAAUCACAUAAAGAAAAUUACAAUCGUCCUCUUAUUGAAUUUACCUUAAGCUCCAACUGGAUGUUGUAGACACCUCUCUCAAUGUCUCUGAGUUGGCUUUCUAAAUUCUCAACAUGGGAUACUAACUCUGGUGGUUGCAGAGCCCAAAUACGAUGUGUUUUACAAAAUCGAAUCUACCUUUUGAGAUGAGAUUUUACAAGUUGAAGUGGUCUAAGAAUGUCCAGGAGGAACUGUUUAGCUAUGGCACUCAUGAUUAACAAUGAUAAGAGAAAACUUAAUGGUUAAACAAACACACUUAUGCAAAAAUAAUUUCCAUUAGCCAAAGAAUAGUAAAAAGAGAAAAAAAUCAAAUCACUGAAAAGAAAGAAAAAAGAAACUCAAUUCAAAUCUGGUGGGUCACUCAAAUUUAUUUUGGUGUCCUCUCCAUGUGGUUGGUACUCUAGAUAUGGCUUUAAUCUUUGACUAUUAACUUUAAACGUGACACCGUUCUUUGGGUCCUUAAUUUCAAUUGCCCCAUGUAGAAAACUAGUGUGAACAAUAAAGGGGCCAGACCAUCGAGAGUGUAACUUACCUGGGAAUAGGUGCAAGCGAGAAUUAAAUAAAAGCACCUUCUGACCUGGAGUGAAAGAUUUUCUCAUAAUUUGCUUGUCAUGAAAGACCUUCAUUCGUUGCUUGUAAAUUUUGGCAUUCUCGUAUGCAUCAUUGUGAAUUUCUGUAAGUUCUGCCAGCUGUAAUCUUCUUUCUGAGCUAGCUUGCUGCAUGUCAAAGUUUAAUUUCUUGAUGGCCUAGUACGCACGAGGCUCGAGUUCCACAGGUAGGUGGCAAGCUUUUCCAUACACUAGCUUGUAAGGUGACAUCCCAAUCGGGGUCUUAAAAGUCGUUCUAUAUGCCCAUAAUGCAUCAUCGAGUCUUAAUGACCAAUCUUUUCUGUCCGGCCUCACCGUCUUUUCUAAUAUGUGCUUUAUUUCUUGAUUGGAGAUCUCAACUUGGCUACUGGUUUGCGAAUAAUAUGGGGUCGCCAGUUUAUGAGUGAUGGAAUACUUUGUCAAAAGAGCUUUGACUGCUUUGUUACAAAAGUGGGUACCACCAUCACUGAUUAUUGCUCGAGGGAAUCCAAAGCGUGAAACAAUGUUGCUUUUCAAAAAUGCUAUCACCACCUUGUGAUCAUUGGUUCUACAUGGAAUUGCUUCUACCCAUUUCGAUACGUAGUCAGCAACAACCAAUAUGUAUUGAUGGCCAAAAGAUUUAGUGGCAUCAUAUUCCUUCGCGAAAUGCUCCCUAUUCGUUGACACCUAUCACAUGAAGAACAGAAAGUGUAAGCAUCUUGAAAUAUAGUUGGCCAAUAGAAACCACAUUGUAAAACUUUAGUAGUUGUUUUCUUAACACUGAAAUGGCCUCCACAAGCUUGUUCAUGGCAGAAUGAAAUGAUAUUAUGAAUUUCACUUUCUGGGACACAUCGUUUAAUAAUUUGAUCUGCACAAUACUUAAACAAAUAAGGGUCAUCCUAAAAGAAAUUCUUUAUUUUCGCAAAAAUUUAGCUUUGUCGUGCUUGAUCCAAUGCUCUGGAAGUUGACCUGUAACAAGAUAAUUAACGAUGUCAGCAUACCAUGGUAAUACUUCCACACUCAUUAAUUGUUCGUCUAGAAAAGACUCAUUCAAUGUUAACGGUUUUGUAAUUGUGUCAAAAUGGAGACGAGAGAGAUGGUCAGCCACGACAUUUCUGUGCCUUUCUUAUCUUUAAAUUCCAAGUCAAAUUCCUGCAAAAGUAACACCCAACGAAUUAGCCUAGCUUUUGCAUCUUUCUUUGUGAGAAGAUAUUUAAGAACAGCAUGAUCCGUGAACACAUUUAUUUUGCAACCAAUGAGAUAAGAUCGAAAUUUCUCUAAUGUAAACACUACUGCUAGCCUUUCUUUUUCAGUAGUUGAAUAGUUCAACUGUGCAUCAUUCAAUGUCAUACUAGCAUAGUAGAUAACAUUGGGAAUUCGAUCAACUCUUUGUCCUAAUACUGCUCCUACUGCAUAAUCAGAUGCAUCACACAUGAGCUCAAAUGGUAAGCUCUAGUUUGGGGGCUGAAUGAUGGGUGAUGUUGUCAACAACUACUUUAAUUUUUCAAAUGCCACAAGACAUGAAUCAUCAAAGACAAAAGGUACAUCCUUAGCAAGUAGAUUACAUAAGGGUCUAGAAACUUUGCUAAAAUCUUUAAUGAAACGUCUAUAAAAACCAGCAUGUCCAAGGAAAGAUCUUACUUCUCUGACUGUUUUAGGUGGAGGAAGAUUAGAAAUGAGAUCCACCUUGGCUUUGUCAACCUCAAUACUUUUGCUCGAAAUGAUGUGACCGAGAAAAAUACCUUGUUUUACCAUAAAAUGGCACUUCUCCCAAUUUAAGACUAAGUUGAUACGAAUCCCACAAUGAAACUUUCAAUCCUACACUUAAUUUGUAGUUUCAACUUCCCAAGAAAGUUCUAAACAGAUUUAUGGCAAACAAAAACCUUGACCCAAUGCUUAAGAAAACAUGAACCAAAGGUAUAGAGAAGGGUAUUGACGCCACACUCAAGAAAAAGAUGAGAAGGUGAGUGAUAAGUCUAAAUUUGGAACACCACAAGAAUGUAAAUUCUUGAUAAGUUCACUAGUUCUCAAAAGAACCAAAGAAAGAAUAAUCUUUCAAAUUCAAAAUAACAUUAAUCUCCUUACAUACCAAGGUUGCUGAAUUUAAAUAGGCUAAAAGGAACCCAAGAUCCUAAAAAUACAAAUGGAAACAUUGGAACAACCCUCCAAGUAAGUUUGUCAAAAGAUGUUUCAAAAGUCUUCACCAACCCACCGUGAUCAAUGCUAUCUUUGACAAACUUAAUGCUAGCCUACUAUAAUUAAUGCUAUCAUUGACAAACUUAAUGUUAGCCCACCAUCAUUGAUGGUAGACUUACCUUACACAUUGACAAGCUUGAAACAAAACAAACAAAUAAGUUGAAAAACAAAGGAUUCGUUGAAAAUCCCAAGUCUGAACAAGCUGUAAAGAAUUGGUCAUAACUCCUUCUAGAGAACUCCAAAUCCAGCUCUGUAAAAUUUAUUGGAAAGCUAACUUAAUUAUCUUUCCAACGGUAUAUAGCUUACAUUUUAAUUCUGGCUCAAUCAAUACAGUUUUUAUUCCGAAUUUGACCUUUCUGCAUUUGAUACAACUUGUGUAUUUGGCUGCCCAAUGACUUGAAUAAUGCCCACAAUGCCUUGUCUUCUCUUCAAGCCCAAUUCAUGAUGUCUUGCAUCUUGAAUUGCAUUUUCAAUCCAUAUUUUCUCAAUUAAUCCAUUUAAAGCAGCUUGCAUCUUUUUGGCUCUUGCUCUUGUAAUUGGGCCUCCAUGAAUGUGCAAAGGAUCACUUGAAGUUUUAAUGGUCCCUUGAUGGUUCUCAUCAUAAGUUCUUCUCGAUACACCUCUGUAGAACUAGUGUUAGAUGAUGUAAACAUUGAUCAAAUGAGUCACCAAAGACAGAAAAGUCAUCCAUAAAGUCUUCAAGGAAUUGUUCAACCAUAUCAGAAAAAAUGCUCAACAUGCAUCGUUGAAAUGUAGCAGGUGAAUUACAUAAUCCAAAUGGCAUCCUCUUAUAUGUAAAAGUGGUAAAAGGGCAAGUGAAAGUGGUUUUCUCUUGAUCUUUUGGUGCUAUGGGAAUCUGAUUAUAUCCUGAGUAACCAUCUAGAAAGCAAUAAAAUCUAUGGCCUGCUAAUCUAUCAAGCAUUUGAUCGAUAAAUGGUAAAGGAAAAUGGUCUUUAGGUGUGACAGAAUUCAACUUUCUAUAAUCAAUGCAUACACACCAUCCUGUAGUCACUCUAGUGGGCAUCAAUUCAUUAUCAGCAUUGGUAACUACUGUGACUCCUAACUUUUUGGAGACAACUUGUACAGGACUAACCCAUGAACUAUCAGAAAUGGGGUAAAUGAUACCUGCAUCUAAUAGCUUAAGGACUUCAGUUCUAACAACUUCUUUCAUAUUAGGAUUUAACCGACGUUGCAUUUCCCUAGUAAGUUUAGCAUUUUCAUCAAGGUGAAUGUAAUGCAUAUAGUCUACUGGGUUUAUACCUUUUAUGUCUGCUAUGAUCCAUCCUAAUACUCCUUUGUGCUCUUUUAAAACAUCCAACAACUUACCUUUUUGUUCAUCAUUUAGGGAUGAUGAGAUGAUUAGUGGUAGAGUACUUUCUUCUCCCAAAAACGCAUAUUCCAAAGUGUUAGGUAACGGUUUGAGCUCGAGUUUCGGUGGUGAUUCUGAUGAUGGGAUGAGUUUCUUCUCUGAUGGUGCUAAUUGUUCAACUUUUGACUUCCAUUUAUUAGUGUCCAUGGAUGGUGUUGAGUCAAGUAGAGCGUUGACCUCAUUGACUGAUCUGUCAAUAUCAAAAUCCAAACCAAAGUGAGUUAAACAUGUUUGUAAAGGAUCAUCACUAAGGUUUGAAAGAAAAGUGUCAUCAACUAAUGCUUCAAUUAAAUCCACAUCAACAAUUCCAUCAUCUGCAUUGUGAGGUUGCUUGGCAAUGUUGAAGAUGUUCAGCUCUACAGUCAUAUUGCCAAAGGACAACUGCAUAUUUCCAGUUCUGUAUUGAAUGUGAGCAUCGGCAGUUGCCAACAAAGGUCGACCUAAGAUAAUGGGGAUGUGCUUCCUUAAAUCCUGGAUUGGUUGAGUGUCAAUUACAAUGAAAUCAACAGGAAAAUAAAACUUGUCUACCUGGAUAAGCACGUCCUCCACAAUACCAUGAGAUAUUUUCGUGGAAUGAUCUGCAAGCUGUAACACCACUGGAGUUGGGUGUAAUUCUCCCAGUCUAAGUUUCACAAAUACUGAAUAAGGCAACAAAUUUACACUAGCUCCUAAAUCCAACAAAGCAUUCUCAAUUGUUUGGUUCCCUAUACUACAUGAGAUAGUGGGGGAGCUUGGGUCUUUGUAUUUUAGAGGAAUUUUAUGUUGGAGUAUUAGAACUAAUAUUUUCUAUUAAAAAUGCCUUCUUUUGAACAUGAAUAUUUAUCUUUUUAGUACAAAAAUCUUUAAGAAACUUGGCAUAAGAUGGCACUUGUUUUAUUGCAUCAAGUAAAGGGAUGUUAACACUUACCUGUUUGAAGAUUUCAAGAAUCUCACCUGUGGACUUUCAUUUCUUUCCUUUAGCUAACCUUUGAGGAAAUGGAGCUUUCAGAACGUAUUCUCGUGGGUUGGUUUCUUUUUUCUCCCCCGGUGAUGAGUCUUCAACAUUCACAGGUACAAUUUGAUUUGUUUUUGUCACUGGCAUCUCCGUUUUGUUGUCGAUUUCUUUCCCUUUUCGUAAGGUCAUGACAGCUUUGACCUCUCCAUGCUGUUGUGGUGAACUGGUACUUGCUUCAUGCACUCCUUUAAGAUUAGGCACUGGUUGACUUGGAAAUUUGUCUUUCUCAACAGUCAUUGCCAAAGUUUAAACUGAAGAAGCAAGCUGUCCCACCAUCUUCUCAAGACUUGAAACUGAUUAGGCUUGUGAGUUGAAGCCUGCUCUCAUCUCAUUUCGUAUUUCAUUAAUGGUGCGGUUCUGUUGCUCGAUCGUGGAGUGAGUAAUAUUCUUGAAAUUCUGGAGUGAAUCCUCCCAUGGUCUGGGUUGAAAGUAUUUCUGGUUCUGAUUGAAUGGUCUAAAUGGGGGUUGAGAGGCUUGAGAAAUUUGAGGAAUUGGUUGCAUUGGUGGAGUUGGAGCUGCUGGUCCAUUCUGUUGGAAUCCUUGAGACCAUGAAAAAUUGGGAUAGUCUCUCCAUCCAGGGUUAUAUCCCCUUGACUUCUUUGAUUUUCGAAGUUGGCUCGCCAAUGUGAACCUCAUUUACUCCCUUAAUUCUUUUAGUAUUCCUAAGUGAUCAACUCCGUUGUUUAGAAUUAUCUGCUUGUCGCUGGAAGAAUUCCCAAAUUUUUGAUGCACUUUUUGACAUUAGCUCUCCUCCACUCAUUGCCAUUAGCCAUUCUUGCACAUGUGGUAAUAAUCCCUCCAAAACGUAUUGGCAUUGGUGCCAUUUCUCGUACCCAUGAUGUGGACACUUCAAAAGUAGCCCAUUGAAUCACUACCAUGUUUCGAAAAACUACUCGUCUUCUCUCUGGGUAAACUCUGAGAUUUCCCUGCGAAUAGCAUUGGUUUUAUGCACUGGGAAAUACUUAUUCAAAAAUUUCGUUACCAUUUGUUCUCAUGAUGUAAUGCUAUUAGCAGGCAAUGUAUUAAGUCAUGAACGAGCUCUAUCCUUUAAAGAAAAUGGGAAUAGUCUAAGUUUAACGUCAUCAUCUGAAAAAGUUUCAUAUUUAAAUGUUUGACAAACAGCAUGAAAAUCAUUCAAAUGAUUAUAUAGGUCCUCAUUUUCUAGGCCAUAGAAUGUUGGGAGACAAUUUAGCACACUAAGUUUUAGUUCAAAACUCCUAGCAGCUACAUUUGGGUAUCUUAUGCAUGAUGUGCUCAAAUUAGCUAAAGGACUAAAGUAGUCCUUAAAUGGCCUCUCCUGUAGUGCUUGUUGUUGUUGCAAAUCUAUUUUAUUUUUAAUUUGUUUGUGUGUGCAUAGUAUUUUUUCAAGUUCAAGGUCUAUAGGCUCAAGAUUAGGUAAUAAUGACCUUCGACCAUGCAUGCAAAGAAUACAAAAUAAAUGGGAACAAAACAAAUAAAAAUAAAGAAGAAGGAGAAAUUACGGUACUAACCUUAUUACGCUGUUACAAUCUUUCUAUAAAAACACAUAAAAAAAAUACAUGAAAUAAAUUAACCAAAAAAUUACAAAGAAAAAUAACUUGAAAAUUAAAUUACAAAACUUUAAAGAAGAGAAAAAGAAAAGAAAUUCUUACCUCUAAAUGCAUAUUCACUUUUUUUUCUUUUUAUAAAAAAAAAUUACAAGAAAACAAUUUAAAGAAAUUAUUUGCAAAAAUUAAUUCUACAAAUUAAAAUAACUUACCUCCCCGGCAACGGCGCCAAAAACUUGUCGUGCAAAUUUUAUUGAACUUGCAAGUGCACGAAUCUAUUGUAGAAUAGAUCAAUGGUGACGAGUGUCGAUCCCACGAGGAAGUUGAUUCUAAUUGUGUGUAGAAUUAAUUUUUCUAAAUGGAUGUUUGGAUUUGUGGUGAAAGUGAUUUAGACUAUCUUAGAAUUUAAAUUGGAAUGACAGAAUUAAAGUGGAAACUAUUAUAAUUGAAGCGCUUGGGUAUCUGGAUCCGUAUCAACAUGCACCAUGGGCUAAAUAUUCUGUAUUAGUGCCAAUUAAAUCAUGAGCGGGGAAUCCACACCUCAUGAACCACACUCUAAUCAAUAUGGUGCUAAAGGCUUAUCGUGCCAAAUAAUAAUAACCUUGUACUAGGGAGCUGGUGAAACCGGGGCGGUAUCUAGACAAGAUUAUUAUUAUUUGUCGACGAAAAGUCAAAACAUCCACAAUAAUUAGAGGAGAAGAGAAAAUAAAUUUACCAAAUAAAGCUCAUGGCACAUGUUGAGGCUUCACCUUCAACCCAAGCUUGAAAGAAAAUUAGCUACUCAUAAUUGAACUAGGGGUAGAAUGAGAAUUUAUUAAAAUACGUAGAAAAUACAAUAUGGAAAAGGAAUUACAAAAAAUUGAGCUAAAAAAUGAAUUCAGAGAUGCCAAACUAGGGGGGAGAGGCCCCAUUUUUAUAUAUACAUUGAGUAAAUCAUGGCCAUCGGAUUAAAAACAAUUUGGACGCUCAGGAUUGUGCUACGUCAUUAGUUAACAGUACGCGGUUUGACCAUGCGGUUUGAACAGUGACACGGUUUGACCACAUGGUUUGAACAGUCAACCGGCAUGAAUAGUGACGCGGUUUAGUUGAAAGUAAUCCUUUGUAUAUGCAUGUACUGUACGCUCGAUUUUUUGGUCCACUAAUAUGCUGCCACGUCACCGAUCAACAGUGCAUAAGAAUUUGCUCUAAUGGAAUCGUGACACCUCAUCAGUCAAUGCCACAUCAUCGGUCAAUGCCACGUCAUCGUUCCGUCUGUGUAAACAGUGUCGUGAACAGUAACAUGGACAGUACCGUACAUGUGAACAGUGCCAUUUUUCCUUUUAUACUCCUCCUAAGGUUUUCGACUAUCCUGAGUUCAAAAGUGAUGUCCGUUUUGCCGUCUGAUCUCUCGUUCAUAUUGAAAUGACCAUGACACCCCUAAAAUGCAUAAAAUACUUAAUUAAAAUAAAAUACAAAUAAUUAAAUUACAAGAGACUAAAAUACAUAAAAGUAUAAGUAUUAGUAAAACUUGAAGUGUAAAAUGAUGAUUUUCUCCUUUAUAAAUAUACAUUUUCUAACACUCAACAUUGGAUAACUUGCUAAAUUCACAAAAAUGUGUAUUUGACAAAGGAGGCAUUGGUUAUAAGCCAAAUUUGAAACAAAAGUAUUACAAGAGUUAUUUUGUGAAGAAUACAUCUAUUAACAAUCAAAUUGUAUGUCAUUAUUGUAAUCAAGAUGGUCAUAUGAAAAAUAGAUGUCCAGUGAAGAGAAUUAUAUUUUAUGGUGUGAAAUGUGUUUGGGUUCCGAAAGAAACCAUUGCUAACUCUCAAGGACCUAAAAAGGUUUGGGUACCUAAUACUUGAGAUUUUCUCUGCAGGGCUUGAAGAAGAAGAAGAAUAAGUGGUACUUGGACAGUGGUUGUUCAAGACACAUGACAGGGAAUUAUUCUUGAUUUUCAAGUUUCACCAAGAUCGAAAAUGGUAGAGAUGUAUCGUUUGGAGAUAAUUCAAAAGGAAAAAUCAUUGGCAUUGGGAAUGUCAGUAAUGUAUCCUCUACUCUCAUUGAAAAUGUGUGUUUGGUUGAAAACUUAAAACACAACUUGCUUAGCAUUAGUCAAUUAUGCGAUAAAGGAUAUAGAGUUAUCUUUGAUAAAUCAAAAUGUGUUAUUGAGAAUGCAUGUGAUGGCAAGGUUUUGUUUGUAGGAAAUAAAUGUGUUAAUGUCUAUACCAUUAAUAAUAGAUUGUCCAUCUAAAAAUAAUAAAUGUUUCUCCGCAUUGCAUGAUGAUGGUUGGUUAUGGCAUAGAAGAUUAGGUCAUGCAGGCAUGGAUUUGAUUUCAAAAAUCGUGAAAAAUAAUUUGGUUAAAAGUCUUCCAAAAAUCAGUUUUUUAAAAAAUAGAAUUUGUGAAGCUUGCCAAUUUGGAAAACAAAUCAAAACUUCUUUCAAAAAUAAGAAAAAUAUUUCUACUUCAAAACCACUUCAACUGCUUCACAUAGACUUGUUUGGACCUUCUAAAUAUGCUAGUUUAAAUGACAAAUAUUAUGCUUUUGUAAUUGUGGAUGAUUAUUCUAGAUACACAUGGGUUUUAUUCUUAGUAAUAAGGAUGAUACCUUUGAUUCAUUUAAAGUUUUCUGCAAAAAGAUUCAAAAUGAAAAGGGAAGUAGUAUUUCUUGUAUUAGAAGUGAUCAUGGUGGAGAAUUUGAAAAUUAUGCAUUUGAGAACUUUUGUAAUGAUUUUGGCAUUGAGCAUUAAUUUUCAUCACCUAGGACUCCUCAACAAAAUGGAGUUGUAGAGAGAAAGAAUAGGUCUAUUCAAGAAAUUGUUAUGACCAUGUUGAAUGAAAAUUCUUUGCCUAAGUAUUUUUUGGGCUGAAGCUGUCAACACCGCUUGUUAUAUUUUGAAUUGUGUGUUGAUUAGAUCUAAUUUUAAUAAAACUCCAUAUGAGCUUUGGAAAGAUAGAAAACCCAAUAUUGGCUAUUUUAAAGUCUUUAGAUGCAAAUGUUUUGUUUUGAACACAAAAGAUAAUCUUGGUAAAUUUGAUCCAAAAUCUGAUGUUGGUAUUUUUCUUGGUUAUUCAAACUCAAGAAAAGCUUAUAGAGUGUAUAAUAAAAGAAUUUUGGUUGUGGAAGAAUCUAUGCAUGUUACAUUUGAUGAGUCUAACCCCUCAUAUAUGGAGAAAGUCGUUGUUGAUGAUAAUGCAAAAGAAGAACAAGAAGAAUAAGCAUCAAAUGACAACCAAAAAGAUGCACCACAUGGAAUUCAAGAGAAACAUCAUGAAGAAACAAAUGCAGAGAAAAAUGAAGGUAAUUCUCAAAUACUCCCCAAGGAGUGGAGGUAUGUUUCUUCUCAGCCUAAGGAUGUAAUAUUAGGAGAUCCCUCACGAGGUGUUAUAACUAGGUCAUCACUUAGGAACACAUGUGAGCAUGCUAGAUUUAUUUCUCAAAUUGAACCAAAAUUCUUUACGGAUGCGGAAAAUGAUGAAUCUUGGACUAUGGCAAUGCAAGAGGAGUUGAAUCAAUUUGAGAGAAACAAUGUGUGGGAAUUAGUUCCUAAUCCGGAACAUCAAUCCAUUAUAGGCACUAAGUGGGUAUUUAGAAACAAAAUGGAUGAAUCCGGUGUGGUUGUAAGAAAUAAAGCUAGAUUAGUGGCUCAAGGUUACAACCAAGAAGAUUGCUCUUGAUGAAACAUUUGCACUUGUAGCUACACUAGAAUCCAUUAGAAUGCUCUUAUCUUUUGCAUGUCAUAAAGAUUUUAUUUUAUAUCAAAUGGAUGUCAAGAGUGCUUGCUUAAAUGGUUAUAUUAUGGAGGAAGUUUAUGUGAAACAACCUCUUGGUUUCGAAAAUGAAAAAUUUCCAAAUCAUGUGUAUAAGUUGUCUAAGGCAUUAUAUGGAUUAAAACAAGCAUCUAGAGCAUGGUAUGAUAGGCUUAAAAACUUCUUGUUAGAUAACUAUUUUUUUAUGGGAAAAACGGACACAACUCUCUUUGUUAAGCAUAAGAACUAAGAUAUACUUAUUGUUCAAAUUUAUGUUGAUGACAUUAUCUUUGGUUCUACUAAUGAAUUGUUAUGUAAAGAAUUUUCAUUGUGUAUGAGCAAAGAAUUUGAGAUGAGUAUGAUGGGAGAGUUGAAGUACUUCCUUGGACUCCAAAUCAAACAAAAUGAGGAAGGAAUUUUCAUAAAUCAAGCCAAGCACGUGAAAGAUCUACUCAAAAGAUUUGGCUAUGAUAAUGGAACGGCAAAAAGCACUCCAAUGAGUACUACCUGUUAACAUAAAUAUUUAUUUAUUAUUGAUUUUGAUGAUAACAAACUUGAUUAAGAUUUUGAUUAAUCUUUUAAAAGCUCCAAAUAGUUUUCAUAUACUUUUAUAUCAUCAUUCUCACUUUAUAAAGGCUUUAUAUUCUAUGAAAUUAUUGUUGGUUAUUCUCAUGAUAAUGGUUUCAAUUAAAAAAGCUUUGAGAAUUUUGAUAAAUAACAAGUAUUGCUUAAAAUCCUGAAAAUGGACCUAUUCAACAAGUUUUGAGCCAUAGUAUAAUUUUAUAAAGUUUUGGGACCAAACUAUAAUUUUAUAAAAAUAGUUCACUGUAGCAGUCACUGUAGAAAACAGCGAUCCGACAUCUUGAUAACGGCUCACUGACAUUGAACAGAAUUGAAGAUUAGACUUUGGACACUAACGACGAUCCGACAUCUAGAUAACGGCUAUCCGACAAUUUGAAAACUCAGCCCAACAGUCAUAUUGACUAGUCAAACGGCGAUCCGAUAUCUAGUUAACGAUGAUCCGACAGUGAGCAGAAAGUCAAUAACGGCUAGUUUUCAGCUCCAACUAUAAAUAAGCUCAAUCAAAUUCAAACUUUAACGAUUCCAACAAUUAUUAUUGAGCAAAGUCGUGAGCAUACAACAUUCAUUGAGCCUUAAAUUCCUGUAUUCAUCUCAUUUACUCACACUUUGAAUCUUCAUUUGUAAUCAAACACACUGUGUGAGAGAGAUUUAUUUUGUAACAUUCUUUAAAAUCAAAUUGAGUGAUUGUAAGUGUUGGAAUACACUUAGGUUAAGAGAUUGGGGAUAAUUUCUUGUUGUAAAGGUUUAUUGACACCUUAGAAGUCAAGUGUAAGCAUUUGAAGCCUUGGAGGCGUGGACGUAGGCGAGGUUGGCCAAACCACGUAAAAAUCCCCUUGUUUGAAUCUCUCUUCCCUUAUCUUUUUAUAUUGUGAUAAAUUUGUUUAUUAAUUGCUUUAAAUUCGUUUUAGAUUUGCAUUGAGUUUUUUUUUAUUAGAAUUGAAAAAUUUUUAGAAUCUCAAUUCACCCCCCCUCUUGGGUUGCAUAACUAGAAUUUCAGUUGGCAUCAGAGCCUUGUUCUCUUGUUAGAACUUAAUCGUCUAGAGUAAAAGAUUCAUUGCAACCCUAAUUGACUCAACCUUUAGAGAAGGACAAUGCACAACUAGACCACCGUUCUAAAAUGCAAGUUAUGCAACCCAAGAGGGUGGGUAAAUUGAGAUUUUAAAAUUUAUGCAAUACAAUUCGCACAACAAUUUAAUCUAUUGCCUUAAUCAAAUCAAAAACAAUAAAUUCAAUCAAGCACAAUAUUAAAAGAGUAAGGGAAGAGAAAACAAACAAAAUGAUUUUUACGUGGUUCGGCUAUCCCCGCCUACGUCCACGCCUCCAAGCUCACCCGGCUUGAGGAUUUCACUAUCCAAGCCUUCCAAGGCUUCAAAUAUUUACAAUUGACUUCCAAGGUGUAGAGGUGGCAAAAAUACCCGCCCGGUCCGGACCCGGACCGUACCCGGGUGUUGCGGGCCGGGUAAUAUCCGGCUCGGGUAUGAAGCCGGGUCGGUCUUGGGCAUCACUUGAUAAACCCGGAACCCGGAUUUUAUUAAAAAAAAUUAUAAAAUAUAUAUUAUUUUAAAUAUUUUAUAUUUAUUUGACUUAUUUAUUAUACAUAUAUAAAGUUUUAAAAACUUAAAGUUGAUAUUUUCAUGUCAAAUUUUAUUGAAAUAAAUUUAAAACUUAUAAAAUUAUCAAAAAAUAAAAAAUAUAUACACAUAAAAUAUUAAAAAAUAUAAAAUCCGGGUACCCAGAUUAAAACCCAGCUCGGACCCGGACCCGGACCGGUUGCAUCCGGGCAGGGUCCGGUCAUGGCAAUACCCGGACCCGGCCCGGGGUUUUGCCAUCUCUACCAAGGUGUCAAUGGACCUUUAUAACAAGAGAUCAUCUCCCCAAUCUCUUCACCACAAGUGUUUAUCACACUUGUCCACUUACAAUUUGAUGAGAAAUGAAAAUCACAACAAUGAAACUCUCUUUAAGAGUGGAUAACAAAGUAUAGCUCAAUAAUGCUUCAAUAAAUGAUGAUUUGCGAAAUGGAAGCUCAAUAUAUGUUAUAUGAUCUUAUUUUUGCUUGCAUUAGUUCUUAAAAUGAAGUUGGAGUUGAGUUUUUAUAGUUAAAGCCCGAAAACUAGCUGUUAUAGCCAAAUUCUAGUACCCAAGUAGUUAGCCGCUUGUAACAGUGAUAUUACCGUUAUUUUGAAUUUUACUACAAUAAUACUGUUCACUAAAAUUAUAGUUUGGCCCAAAACUUUCUAUAAUUCUAUGAUGACCCAAAAUGUCAUAAAACUUUACAAAUAGGUCCAAUUUCAGAAUUUCCCAAUAAUUGUUGUCUUUCCAAAACUUUCUAAAAUUAUGCUAUGGCCCCAAUAUAUUAUUAUUUCUCAAAGAGGUCCUUUUUAACAUAAUACCCAUAUUUUUUAAAGUUCUCAAAAGCUUUCACUUUAGUCCAAAAUAUUCAUAAAUUAUAGUAUGGCCCAAAACAUUUCAAAUGUUUGUAAAAAGGUCCAACUCCGAAAUUCAAUAAUAAUACUUAUUAAAAUCAAAGAUUUCAAAACUUUGCAUUUAAGUCCAAAUUACUCAAAUCCACAAAAUACUUUACCUUAUAAAAAUAAAACCGUUUAGUUUAUGAAAAGUAAUUAUUUAAAUUAAUCUCUUGAGCUUCUCAAAUGCUAAAUCAUACAUAAAUUAAAUCAUAUCGGCUUUACAAGAAUUUAUCACACUAAUUUGUUCGUUGAGCUCUAAACUUUAUUCUUCAUUUGGCCGUUGUCCGUUGAGUGUCUUGAGCUUGAUUUCACUUGAUUCACUUGCAUAAAUAUUACUCUUAAAAAACUAGUGAAAAUGUGAAAUACAAUAUUUAUUAAAUCAUUUAAUACAUAUGUUUGUUAUCAUCAAAAUUACAUUAUGUGUAGCCCUUUAGGCUAACAAUCUCCCCCUUUUUGAUGAUGACAAACAUCUCAUGUAUUUUGACAUAUAUACUCCCCCUUAAUACAUGGCAUAUAUAAUUCAACAUAUAAAUCAAAUUCAAAACUCCCCCUGAAAAUAUGGUCUAUAACAAUUUGUAAACUCCCUCUUAAUAUUUCAAAACCAUGCACAAAUACUUCAAGAUCAAAAUAGAAUUCAAAAUACAUGACUUCUCCCCCUUCAUCAUCAAAAUUACUAUGAAUCCAUGCUUAUACCAAAAAUAACACUUCAAUGAUUAAUCAAGAAACAAAUAAGAAUUAAGCAUGCAAUUAACCAAAGAGUCACAACAUUUCAAGAAUUCAGAGAAUAUCAUCCAAAUAUCACAUAACAAUCAUCCUCAAUCUAUAAUUAAGAGCCUGUUUGGUAUGGCUUAUUUAAGAGCCAUAAGUGCUUAUUUAAUCGUAUAAGCACUUUUUAAAAUUUUUUAUGGUAUUUGGUUUUUUUUUAGUAGAGUUUUUUUAGCUUAAAUAAGCUAAUUUACCUCUACUAGGAAAAGCCCAAAAUUUGAGCUUUUGGGAGUAGAGGUUAUAAAGCUUUUCUAAAUAUAUAUAAUAUAAAAAAUAUCACAUAGUUUAAUGGUUCAAAAGUGCUUUUUUUAUUGACAACCAAACACCCAAUGACUUUUUGUCCAAAAGCUCUAUUGGUAUAAGCUCUACUGCUAUAAGCUCUACUGUUAUAAGCUCUAUUUAAUAAGCUGUACCAAACGGAGCCUAAAACAACAAUGCAUAUGAAAAAUGUAAUGCAGAAUUAAACUAAGAACUGAAAUCAAGAUGAAUAUGGUGGAUGUGGAAAAUGAGUUAAUAUGAACUUUGGAUUGUCUCUAUGAUGUUUCUCGCACCUUUUGGCUAUUUGUUUUCCUUUGGAUUUUUCAUAACCAACUAUUACGGAAAACAAGAAUACGCUUAAAUACCCAAAUUCGGAUGUUCAAGAUUUUGUGUGAAAUGGAAGUGUUUGAGUCAAUAAAAUUUGAUCGUAGAGAUGAUUUAAUGCAAUGUAUGAUAUUAAUUUGAUCAAGAUGAGCUAAAAAUAGCUUGAAAUGUAGGAGAAAGAAAUGAGCAAGCUUAGAUUUUGAUUUUGAGAUUUGGAGAAACAAGUGAUGAUUUGAUGAUUUGAAAGUUAGAAAUAAUUUGAAUGAGCACUUUUGGCAUAAAAAUGGGUGAGAAAUGAAGAAAAUUUGAAUGGAAAUGGAGAAGAGGCUGUGGGUAGAGAGAGAGUGAUGAAAGGUUGAAGAAAGCAUGAGAAAGGGGGAGAAAAAAAAAACCCUUAAACCCGUGACCAAGCGGCUAACCGCUUGGGGGCAAGCGACUAGCCGCUUGCUCUCGGGUUUGGGACAGCUCCCAAGUGGCUAGCCGCUUGGGGCAGGCGGCUAGCCGCCUCAUGGCUGCCCUUCUGUACCAUGUUCACUUUCCGGCUUAUUUGAUCAAUCCCGAGGUCAUCUCACGAUUCCGAAACAUCUCAAAAGCCAUUUUAAUGCAUUUCAGCCAUGUUCGCUCCCUCGUAUGGAUCNNNNNNNNNNNNNNNNNNNNNNNNNNNNNNNNNNNNNNNNNNNNNNNNNNNNNNNNNNNNNNNNNNNNNNNNNNNNNNNNNNNNNNNNNNNNNNNNNNNNNNNNNNNNNNNNNNNNNNNNNNNNNNNNNNNNNNNNNNNNNNNNNNNNNNNNNNNNNNNNNNNNNNNNNNNNNNNNNNNNNNNNNNNNNNNNNNNNNNNNNNNNNNNNNNNNNNNNNNNNNNNNNNNNNNNNNNNNNNNNNNNNNNNNNNNNNNNNNNNNNNNNNNNNNNNNNNNNNNNNNNNNNNNNNNNNNNNNNNNNNNNNNNNNNNNNNNNNNNNNNNNNNNNNNNNNNNNNNNNNNNNNNNNNNNNNNNNNNNNNNNNNNNNNNNNNNNNNNNNNNNNNNNNNNNNNNNNNNNNNNNNNNNNNNNNNNNNNNNNNNNNNNNNNNNNNNNNNNNNNNNNNNNNNNNNNNNNNNNNNNNNNNNNNNNNNNNNNNNNNNNNNNNNNNNNNNNNNNNNNNNNNNNNNNNNNNNNNNNNNNNNNNNNNNNNNNNNNNNNNNNNNNNNNNNNNNNNNNNNNNNNNNNNNNNNNNNNNNNNNNNNNNNNNNNNNNNNNNNNNNNNNNNNNNNNNNNNNNNNNNNNNNNNNNNNNNNNNNNNNNNNNNNNNNNNNNNNNNNNNNNNNNNNNNNNNNNNNNNNNNNNNNNNNNNNNNNNNNNNNNNNNNNNNNNNNNNNNNNNNNNNNNNNNNNNNNNNNNNNNNNNNNNNNNNNNNNNNNNNNNNNNNNNNNNNNNNNNNNNNNNNNNNNNNNNNNNNNNNNNNNNNNNNNNNNNNNNNNNNNNNNNNNNNNNNNNNNNNNNNNNNNNNNNNNNNNNNNNNNNNNNNNNNNNNNNNNNNNNNNNNNNNNNNNNNNNNNNNNNNNNNNNNNNNNNNNNNNNNNNNNNNNNNNNNNNNNNNNNNNNNNNNNNNNNNNNNNNNNNNNNNNNNNNNNNNNNNNNNNNNNNNNNNNNNNNNNNNNNNNNNNNNNNNNNNNNNNNNNNNNNNNNNNNNNNNNNNNNNNNNNNNNNNNNNNNNNNNNNNNNNNNNNNNNNNNNNNNNNNNNNNNNNNNNNNNNNNNNNNNNNNNNNNNNNNNNNNNNNNNNNNNNNNNNNNNNNNNNNNNNNNNNNNNNNNNNNNNNNNNNNNNNNNNNNNNNNNNNNNNNNNNNNNNNNNNNNNNNNNNNNNNNNNNNNNNNNNNNNNNNNNNNNNNNNNNNNNNNNNNNNNNNNNNNNNNNNNNNNNNNNNNNNNNNNNNNNNNNNNNNNNNNNNNNNNNNNNNNNNNNNNNNNNNNNNNNNNNNNNNNNNNNNNNNNNNNNNNNNNNNNNNNNNNNNNNNNNNNNNNNNNNNNNNNNNNNNNNNNNNNNNNNNNNNNNNNNNNNNNNNNNNNNNNNNNNNNNNNNNNNNNNNNNNNNNNNNNNNNNNNNNNNNNNNNNNNNNNNNNNNNNNNNNNNNNNNNNNNNNNNNNNNNNNNNNNNNNNNNNNNNNNNNNNNNNNNNNNNNNNNNNNNNNNNNNNNNNNNNNNNNNNNNNNNNNNNNNNNNNNNNNNNNNNNNNNNNNNNNNNNNNNNNNNNNNNNNNNNNNNNNNNNNNNNNNNNNNNNNNNNNNNNNNNNNNNNNNNNNNNNNNNNNNNNNNNNNNNNNNNNNNNNNNNNNNNNNNNNNNNNNNNNNNNNNNNNNNNNNNNNNNNNNNNNNNNNNNNNNNNNNNNNNNNNNNNNNNNNNNNNNNNNNNNNNNNNNNNNNNNNNNNNNNNNNNNNNNNNNNNNNNNNNNNNNNNNNNNNNNNNNNNNNNNNNNNNNNNNNNNNNNNNNNNNNNNNNNNNNNNNNNNNNNNNNNNNNNNNNNNNNNNNNNNNNNNNNNNNNNNNNNNNNNNNNNNNNNNNNNNNNNNNNNNNNNNNNNNNNNNNNNNNNNNNNNNNNNNNNNNNNNNNNNNNNNNNNNNNNNNNNNNNNNNNNNNNNNNNNNNNNNNNNNNNNNNNNNNNNNNNNNNNNNNNNNNNNNNNNNNNNNNNNNNNNNNNNNNNNNNNNNNNNNNNNNNNNNNNNNNNNNNNNNNNNNNNNNNNNNNNNNNNNNNNNNNNNNNNNNNNNNNNNNNNNNNNNNNNNNNNNNNNNNNNNNNNNNNNNNNNNNNNNNNNNNNNNNNNNNNNNNNNNNNNNNNNNNNNNNNNNNNNNNNNNNNNNNNNNNNNNNNNNNNNNNNNNNNNNNNNNNNNNNNNNNNNNNNNNNNNNNNNNNNNNNNNNNNNNNNNNNNNNNNNNNNNNNNNNNNNNNNNNNNNNNNNNNNNNNNNNNNNNNNNNNNNNNNNNNNNNNNNNNNNNNNNNNNNNNNNNNNNNNNNNNNNNNNNNNNNNNNNNNNNNNNNNNNNNNNNNNNNNNNNNNNNNNNNNNNNNNNNNNNNNNNNNNNNNNNNNNNNNNNNNNNNNNNNNNNNNNNNNNNNNNNNNNNNNNNNNNNNNNNNNNNNNNNNNNNNNNNNNNNNNNNNNNNNNNNNNNNNNNNNNNNNNNNNNNNNNNNNNNNNNNNNNNNNNNNNNNNNNNNNNNNNNNNNNNNNNNNNNNNNNNNNNNNNNNNNNNNNNNNNNNNNNNNNNNNNNNNNNNNNNNNNNNNNNNNNNNNNNNNNNNNNNNNNNNNNNNNNNNNNNNNNNNNNNNNNNNNNNNNNNNNNNNNNNNNNNNNNNNNNNNNNNNNNNNNNNNNNNNNNNNNNNNNNNNNNNNNNNNNNNNNNNNNNNNNNNNNNNNNNNNNNNNNNNNNNNNNNNNNNNNNNNNNNNNNNNNNNNNNNNNNNNNNNNNNNNNNNNNNNNNNNNNNNNNNNNNNNNNNNNNNNNNNNNNNNNNNNNNNNNNNNNNNNNNNNNNNNNNNNNNNNNNNNNNNNNNNNNNNNNNNNNNNNNNNNNNNNNNNNNNNNNNNNNNNNNNNNNNNNNNNNNNNNNNNNNNNNNNNNNNNNNNNNNNNNNNNNNNNNNNNNNNNNNNNNNNNNNNNNNNNNNNNNNNNNNNNNNNNNNNNNNNNNNNNNNNNNNNNNNNNNNNNNNNNNNNNNNNNNNNNNNNNNNNNNNNNNNNNNNNNNNNNNNNNNNNNNNNNNNNNNNNNNNNNNNNNNNNNNNNNNNNNNNNNNNNNNNNNNNNNNNNNNNNNNNNNNNNNNNNNNNNNNNNNNNNNNNNNNNNNNNNNNNNNNNNNNNNNNNNNNNNNNNNNNNNNNNNNNNNNNNNNNNNNNNNNNNNNNNNNNNNNNNNNNNNNNNNNNNNNNNNNNNNNNNNNNNNNNNNNNNNNNNNNNNNNNNNNNNNNNNNNNNNNNNNNNNNNNNNNNNNNNNNNNNNNNNNNNNNNNNNNNNNNNNNNNNNNNNNNNNNNNNNNNNNNNNNNNNNNNNNNNNNNNNNNNNNNNNNNNNNNNNNNNNNNNNNNNNNNNNNNNNNNNNNNNNNNNNNNNNNNNNNNNNNNNNNNNNNNNNNNNNNNNNNNNNNNNNNNNNNNNAGUUGUUACCAAAACAAUUAAAUCAUAUUGUCUCAUCAUUUUUGCUUACACCAUGAUCAAGUGAUUAUUCUCAUAAGCUUUUAUCAAGGAACUCUCCGCCAUUCCUUGAUUGUGGUGCCUACAAAAAAUAUUCAAGUUGUGUGCUUUGGUACCCAAAUAUUCUUGGAUCCUUGAGUGUUAGCAAUGGUUCCUUUUGGAACCCAAAUACAUGUUACUCCAUAAUAUGCAUUUCUUUUAACCGGACAUCUAAGCUUCAUGUGACCAUUUUGAUUGCAAUAAUGGCAUACAAUUUGAUCAUUAAUGGAGGUAGUUUUAACAAAAUAACUCUUAUAAUAUUUUUAUUUCAAAUUUGGCUUAUAACCAAUCUCUCCUUUAUCAAACACACAUUUUUGUGAAUUAAGCAAGUUAUCCAACAUCUUUUGCCUAUUUGUGAAUUUUAACAGAAUUUGAUUUAGCUCAUUGCUCUUCUUCUUAAGCACUUCAUUUUCUUUCAUUAAUUCAUCAACAUAUAAUUUCUCAUACUCAUAUGAAGUACUUUGUUUGCAUUUAAAUGUGCAAUUCUAUCAACCAACAUUUUAUUAUCUAACUCUAGUCCUUUAAUCUUUUCAUUUAAUGAAUCAUUGCAUUUUUGUAAAGCAUCCUUUUCAUUUUAAAUCUUUGACUUCCUCUAUGGCAGUCCUUUUUGGUCUCCAUUCCUUAGGUAGCGACCUAAUGAUUUUCUUAACUUUCUCGCUAUUUGAAAAGGUCUUUCCUAGGGCUCCUAGAGUGUUCACUAUGUCCGUAAAUCUAAUAUACAUAAAAUACACACUCUCAUUUUGUUCUAUUUGAAACAAUUCAUAUUGUCGAGUGUACCUACUAAUUUUAGACUCUUUCACUUGAUUCGUGCCUUCAUAAACAACUUCAAGUUUGUGCCAAAUUUCAUUAGCACUUUCACCACUAGAUACUCUAUGAAACUCUUUCUUAUCUAGUGCACAAAACAAGGCAUUCAUAGCUUUGGAGUUUAGAGAAUCUUUUUUCUUUUCCAAUUUAUUCCAUUCCCAUGAAGGUUUUGAAAUAUCUUCCCCGACUUCGAUUUUAGUCAAAGGCAUAAAUGGACCAUCACAAACAAUUUCCCAAAUUUCAUAAUCUAAAGCGUGUAAUAAAUUCUCAUCCUAGUUUUCUCUUUAACUCUAGACGAUUAAGUCUACACAAGAGCACCUUGCUCUGAUACCAAAUGAAAUGCAAGUUAUGCAACCCAAGAGGAGGGGUGAAUUGGGAUUUUAAAAUUUAUGCAGUACAAUUCGCACAACAAUUUAAUCUAUUGCUUUAAUCAAAUAAAAAACACUAAAUUCAAUCAAGCACAAUAUUAAAAGAGUAAGGGAAGAGAAAACAAACAAAAGGAUUUUUACGUGGUUCGGCUAUCCCCGCCUACGUCCACGCCUCAAAGCUCACCCGGCUUGAGGAUUUCACUAUCCAAGCCUCCCAAGGCUUCAAAUAUUUACAAUUGACUUCCAAGGUGUCAAUGGACCUUUACAACAAGAGAUCAUCUCCCCAAUCUCUUCACCCCAAGUGUUUAUCACACUUGUCCACUUACAAUUUGAUGAGAAAUGAAAAUCACAACAAUGAAACUCUCUUUAAGAGUGGAUAACAAAUUAUAGCUCAAUAAUGAUUCAAUAAAUGAUGAUUUACGAAAUGGAAGCUCAAUAUAUGUUAUAUGAUCUUAUUUUUGCUUGCAUUAGUUCUUAAAAUGAAGUUAGAGUUGAGUUUUUAUAGUUAAAGCCCGAAAACUAGCCGUUAUAGCCAAAUUCCAGCACCCAAGCGGUUAGCCGCUUGAUUUAUCCGGCUAGCCACUUGUAACAGUGAUAUUACUGUUAUUUUUGAAUUUUGCUACAACAACACUGUUCACUAAAAUUACACUUUGUCCCAAAACUUUCUAUAAUUCUAUUAUGGCCCAAAAUGUCAUAACACUUUGCAAAUAGGUCCAAUUUCAGAAAUUCUUAAUAAUAGUUGUCUUCCCAAAACUUUUUAAAAUUAUGCUAUGGCCCCAAAUAUACUAUUAUUUCUCAAAGAAGUCCUUUUUAACAUAAUACCCAUAUUUUUCAAAGUUCUCAAAAUCUUUCACUUUAGUCCAAAAAUUCAUAAAUUAUAAUAUGGCCCAAAACAUUUCAAAUGUUUGUAAAAAGGUCCAACUCUGAAAUUCAAUAAUAAUACUUAUUAAAAUCAAAGAUUUCAAAACCUGCAUUUGACAGCCUGCAUUUUCCAAAUGGUUAACUGGCUCAACGGUUUCACGAGAAAUUUAUGGGAAAAGUGGUAACUCCCUCUUUCUAUAUUGAUAUCAACGAUUUCUCUGAUAUUACUAUAUGUGGUAGAACUUUGCCUCAAAUGCUAAGACAAUGGGAUAAAGCUUUAGGCAUUGAAGAACGAAUCUAUGAAAAUUUAGUUAAGGUGUUUUACUGUAAUAUGGAGAUUUCUGUUAAUCGAAAAGAUAGAGUCGUAACACAUGUUGGAGGUGUUAGGAUUGAGUUCGAUAUGUUUGAGCUUAAUCGUAUUCUUGGAAUAUCAUGUGAGGGGUUAAAUCUGUAUACUGUUAGAAAAGAGCUUCACUUUAGUCAGUUUACUCACAUUGAGGGAGUUAGGAAUAUCUGUAGACGUCGCGAUCUCUCUAACGAGGUCUGCUCAUUGUCCUUUCGGUCUCAAUUGUUACCUUUCCAAGUCCGUAUUCUUCACAGUAUUCUCCAGCACAUAAUUACACCCAGGCAUGGACAUGCUGAUGAGGUGACUAGAUUAGAUGUCGGUUUACUUGACUCUCUCAUCCGAGGAAGGCAAGUGCACCUUUCAUUCACAAUUGUGCGUCAUAUGCUCUCUACCACCGCAGUGUCUAACAGGUCUCUUCCAUGUGGUAGCAUUAUUAGUAAGAUUCUACGAUACUUUCAUGUUCCUUUGACCGAACCUGUCUAUGUUGAGACCAAAAAGUUGGGUAGGGAAAUAAUUUCGGGGAUUGGUUUUCAUUUGAGGCAAGGCAAGUGGAUCAAGGUUACCUCCUCUAAGAAUAAGGAUACUUUGGUAGCUCCGGAUGAUAACCGCAUGCUCAAUGACGUUUAUUCUGAGGAUGAGUUACCCGACUUUCGUCUUGGCGCUAGACCACGUGCCCCCCGCCGAGCAGCAGCAGAAGUAUCAUCCUCUCAGGAUGACGAGCCAGCCGAGCCAGCCGAGCCAGCUAUGCCUCCUGCAGCAUUGACCGUUCCUGAGGAUCGCAUUUAGCAGCUUUUCGACAGAGUGGAUUUCUUGUCCCAGCAGCAGCAACAGCUUUAAUUUGACUUUGCGACCUUUCGGCAGCAAAUGUUAGAUCAGCAAAUGGAGUUACUUGCUAGCCAGCGCCGUAUUCUUGGUCACCUUGGUUAUGAUCCCGGCAUUUCCUCUUCACCGCCCCUAUCUUAGUUUUCUGCACCUUUGCAUUUCGCACAAACAUUACUCAUCUCAUGUAGUUGUUGUGGUACUUAUUGAUUUUGAUUAUGCUUGUGAUGCUUUUAUGAUGUUUUUGUUUGAUAUGUGGACUUUAUUUAUGAUUGAGUUGAUUUUGAUGAUAUGUUUUGGUUGUUGCUUAUGAUUAUGUUGAUUUUGUUGGUAUGGAGGUUGGUUGCUAAAUUGGAAUUUAUAUGGGAGUGUUUUAAUUAUUUUUGUUGUUAAGGAUAUGUUCAUUUUUAAGGGGAGAUUCUACCGAAUUUUUUUUUUUACCAUGGGUAAUUUCUAAACUUCUCUUUUUAAUCUUUUCGCGCUUAUUUCUUUUUUAUGAUAAAGGGGGAGAUAAUUUAUCAAUUUGUUCUGUUAAAUUUUUAUUUUUUUUAUGAGGUCAAAAAUUGAUGGGCACAUAUUUAGGGGGAGUUAAAUUCUAUAAAUAUUUCACUUAGGGGGAGCACAUAUUUAAGGGGAGCAAAAUUGCACAAGUAUUUUCUUGAAAAGUUUGUCAUCAUAAAAAGGGGGGAGAUUGUUAACAUAAAUAUUUCUUUAUUGUUGAUUUUGAUGAUAACUAACUUGAUUAAGAUUGAUUAAUCUUUUAAAAGCUCAAAAUAGUUUUCAUAUACUUUUAAAUCAUCAUUCUCACUUUAUAAAGGCUUUAUAUUCUAUGAAAAUGCUUUUGGUUAUUCUCAUGAUAAUGGUUUCAAUUGAAAAAGCUUUGAGAAUUUUGAUAAAUAACAAGUAUUGCUUAAAAUCCUGAAAAUGGACCUAUUUAAAAAGUUUUAUAAAGUUUUGGGCCAUAGUAUAAUUUUAUAAUGUUUUAGGGCCAAACUAUAAUUUUGUAAAAAUAGUUCACUGUAGCAGUCACUGUAGAAAAUGACAAUCCGACAUUUUGAUAAUGGCUCGCCGACAUUGAACAGAAUUGAAGAUUAGUCUCUGGACACUAACGGCGAUCCGACAAUUUGAAAAUCCAGCCCAACGAUCAUAUUGUCCAGUCAAACGGCGAUCCGAUAUCUAGUUAACGGCGAUCCGAUAAUGAGCAGAAAGUCAAUAACAUCUAGUUUUCAGCUCCAACUAUAAAUAAACUCAAUCAAAUUCAAACUUUAACGAUUCCAACAAUUAUUAUUGAGCAAUGUCUUGAGCAUACAACAUUCAUUGUGCCUUAAAUUCUUGUAUUCAUCUCAUUUACUCACACUUUGAAUCUUCAUUUGUAAUCAAACACAUUGUGUGAAGAGAUUUAUUUUAUAACAUUCUUUAAAAUCAAAUUGAGUGAUUGUAAGUGUUGGAAUACACUUGGAUUAAGAGAUUGGGGAUUAUCUCUUGUUGUAAAGAUUUAUUGACACAUUAGAAGUCAAGUGUAAGCAUUUGAAGUCUUAGAGGCUUUCUUAGUGGAAUCCUCAUACCUGAAAAGCUUGGAGGCGUGGACGUAGGCGAGGUUGGCCGAACCACGUAAAAAUCCCCGUGUUUGAAUCUCUCUUCCCUUAUCUUUUUAUAUUGUGAUAAAUUUAUUUGUUAAUUACUUUAAAUUCGUUUUAGAUUUGCAUUAAGUUCUUUUUAUUAGAAUUGAAUAAUUUUUAGAAUCCCAAUUCACCCCCCCUCUUGGGUUGCAUAACUAGAAUUUCACUACCAUCAAGCUAGACAAAAAUGAGAAAGGUAAGGAAGUUGAUAUCAAGACUUGUCGAGGUAUGAUCGGAUCCUUACUCUACUUGACUGCUAGUAGACCUGAUAUUAUGUUUAGUAUAUGCUUGUGUGCUAGAUUUCAAUCUUGUCCUAAAGAGUUGCACAUGCUUGCUGUCAAACGAAUUUUUCGAUAUUUGAUUGGCACCAUUAAUCUUAGUCUUUGGUAUCCUAGGGGAACUCAUAUUGACUUAACUUGUUAUUCAGAUACCGACUUUGCCGGAUAUAAGGUUGAUAGAAAAAGUACUAGUGGGACAUGUCACUUCCUAGGUCAUUCACUUGUCUCUUGGUUUAGUAAGAAGCAAAACUCGGUUGCUCUUUCAACCACCGAGGCUGAAUAUAUAGCCGCUGGUAGUUGUUGUGCACAAAUCCUUUGGAUGAAACAAACUCUUAGAAACUAUGGUAUUAAUUUUGAUCAAAUACCUGUCUUAUGUGACAAUACUAGUGCUAUUAAUCUAUCCAAGAAUCCCAUUCAACAUUCUAGGCCUAAGCAUAUAGAAAUUAGGUAUCACUUCCUUAGAGAUCAUGUUUAAAAAGGAGAUGUUGUAAUUAAAUUUGUUUAUACUGAAAAUCAACUUGCAGAUAUCUUUACAAAACCUCUUAGUGAAGAGCAUUUUAUAAAGAUAAGACAUGAGCCUGGAAUGAUGAAUGUUGCAUCUUGAAUUAUGAUUUGUUGAUUAAGUUGAUACGUUUGUUCUUGUAUGCAUUUAUGUUUCAUUUAUAUUUAAAUGGCUUAUUGAAAAGUUUUAAAUCACAAAAUGAUUUAAAAUUGAUCAAUUUUAAGCCAAAAAUAAAAUGGUGUGUAUAAUACAAGUCUAAGAGUCAAAAUGAUUUCCAAAGAUUAACUGUCUUUCAACCGGAAAACCAUUUUUCUUAAUGAUUAUUCUUUGGAUCACAUUCGGAUAACCAGAUUGGAAAUCCGAAAAGCCAGAUUUGUAAAGCUUCUUUUUUGCCUUAAAACCGGACAACCAGUUCUUCAAACCUGUAAGCCGAAUUGCUUUUGAAAAUUUUUUGGAAAAUAUCCAGUCAACCGGUUAGGGAAUUCGGAAAACCAGUUUCAGUUUUUGAACUCACUGCAUCAUAACCGGAUAGCCGGUUAUCUAAUCGGAAAAGCCGAAUUUGCAAACCCUUUUUUUGCCUCAAAACCGGACAAUCGGUUCCUCUAUCCGGAAAUUCGAAUUCGCGUAACUAAUCUACUGCCUCACAAAGAGCUAGCCGGUUAUGUAAUCCGGUAAGCCGAAUUCGUGAAGUUCUGCCUCAAAACCGGCCAGCCAGUUCUUCUAACUUGUAAGCCGAAUUCGUGUGCCAUAUAAACUGUUCUUCUUUCUCCUUCAUUCGGCCAACCGGAUAGCUCUCUCUCUCUCAAAGCCGUUUACUUCUCACUCUUUCCAAAAUCCAUCAUCUUCCUAUUUUUCCGAAUCAAAUUGAGUCACAAAAAUCAUUCCCCAUCACUUUGUAUGCUCUAAAUCAUCCUUAAACUUCAUUUUCUUCACCUAAAUUUCUAGAUCCCAAAUUCAAUCGAGGUUUUCAACCAAAAUUUCUCUCUUUAGAUUUCAUAUUCUUAGGCAAUUUUUGAACCGAAUUACAGCGCACAAUCUCUUUCAAUCCUCAUCAUCUUUCUUCUCAUUGAUCGUUUUAACUUCAAAUCAAUCAAAAUCACAAUGUCAAGCUCACAGUCGGUUCGAGGAAAAGGCAAAGAACCGGUUCAACAAACCAACUAGUCAUGGCAAGAAGGGGGCAACUUUGUGUCCGUACAUUUUCAAAACAAGCAUUUAGUCAAACGGUUUCACCAAAGCUUCAUGACCCGUGAAGUACGCUCUUCAUUUUUCGUUUUACCGGAUUGGCUUCAUAGACUCAAUAUUAGUCAUAGAAAUUUGUAUCAAUUGUUGGAAGAAGUUGGUUGGAUUAAUGUACUUAUGAUUCAGGAGAAUGUGUAUCCCGACUUAGUGAAAGUGUUUUACUCGAAUAUGGACAUUUUCGAGGAGAAAAAGAAUCGAGUAAUCACUAUGGUUGGAGGAGUGUUGAUUGAUUUUGAUGUUUUGGAGUUAAAUUCAAUUCUAGGAUCCUCCGAUUAUGGCUUAGAAAUCUUCUCGCCUAGGAAAUCUUCCAAACUUGAUAGUUUUGUUCAUGUUGACGCCGUUAGAAAUAUAUGCCGGCAUAAUGACCUUUCUGUUGAAAAUUGCACCAUUCAUUUUCGCACUCAAUGCCUAUGUCUCCAAUCUCGGAUUUUGCUUCGUUUUAUUCAGUCUAUUGUACUUCCUAGAUCAGGGCAUUUGGAUGAGGUUUCUCAUAUGGAUGUUUCUUUGAUUGAUUGAAACCUGCGACGUCGUCCGGUUAAUUUGGGGUAUACCAUUAUCCGAACUAUGCUUUUCAUUCCUAACUUGAUUACUCAUUCCCUUCCGUAUGGUCAUUUUUUCACUCGGAUCCUUAAAUACUUUAAGGUUUCGAUUAAUGAACCAUCAUGCAAACCCUCUAAGAGUAUCGGGGAUGAAGCUGUAUAUGCCUUAGGAUUUUAGUGGAAGAAUAGAACUUGGGUAAAAUUUACUGAAAAUAAGUUUACUUUUCUUGCUCCGAGUGAUGAUCGGUCACUCAACGUUGUGGUUCAUGCUGAUCAACUUCCUGAUUUCUCACUCUCAUUUCGGGGCCAGUGUAGAUGCCGAGACUCUCCAGUGUCUGCCUCUGCAUCCGCUUUACCUACUUCUAGCGAGGUUACUCUUUAGCAGCUUGUGGAUGAGGUGAGGACACUCUCUGUGCAGCAGACUGAGUUUCAGCAGCAGCAGCAACAACUCAUUCAUGGAUAACGCCUCCUCUUUGGGCACUUUGGCAUUCCAUAUCCGUAUCCUCCUCCAUCACCACCAUCCUCACCACCUCAGCAGUCUCUUAUGCUUGUAUUUGGAUACACCUACAUUUCAUUUACUACUUUAUGUACUUUUAUUUUCGAUUAUAUGGAUGGUUGUUAUGUUGUUGGAUUAUGUGUUUGUUUUGGAUGAUAUGGAUCUGUUUUGAUUGUUUGUUAUGUUGUUUACUUAUGUUUUGGAUAUUUUUUAACUAAUAUGCUUGUAUUGAGAUUUUGAUGAUUGAUAGGGGGAGCUUUUAUUAUUUUUUAUGAUAAAGGAGGAUAUAUAAUAUGUAAAGGGGAAAUAUGAGAAAUUCAUUUGUUCUAAAAAAUAUUCAUAUGCACUUAUGCAGAGGGAGUCUUUUAAAUCUUUUUGAAAUUAGUCUCUAACCUUGCAUUGAUUAAGGGGGAGCUUUUCAUAAAUAAAUUAAAUUUUUAUAACGUGUUUUGUCAUCAUAAAAAAGUGGAAGAUUGUUAGUCUAUAUGGCUAUAAAUAUUGAUUUUGAUGAUAACAAACCACAUGUUUUUGGUUGAACAAAAAUUUGUUCAUUGUGCUUUUAUAAUAAGAAAAUGAUUUUAUGGAGUUAAGUUGUUUUUUUCAAGUUGUGGACCAAAAUGAAAGAAUUUUACAAUCUUUGAUUUUAAUAAAUAUUAUUUUCAAUUUUAGAUUUGGACCUAUUUGAAACUAUUUAAAUAUUUUGGGCCAUUCUAUAAUUUCACAUAGUUUGGGCAAUACCAUAAUUUCACAUAGUUUGGGCGAUAUCAUAAUUUCAAAAAUUUUUGGGAUUAACAAAGUAUUACUUAUAAAUUCCAAAAUUGGACUUAUCUAAAAAGAUUGAUAACGUUUUGGGGCAUAAUACAAUUAUAUAAAGUUUUGGGGUCAAACUAUAAUUUUAGAAAAUAGUGCACUGUACCCAUUACUGUAGCAAGCAGCUAACCGGAUAUGACAAGCGACUAGCCGAAUUUUGGGCAGUAAGCUUUUGGAACAUAAGCGGCUAUCCGGAUUUCGCAAGCGACUAUCCGGAUUUCAAAAGUGGCUAUCCGGAUAUGAAAAGCGGCAUGCUGGAUGUUCUGAAAUUCAAGUUUUUGUUGUAAUGGUAACAUAAAAGUGGCUAACUGGAUUCCAUAAACAGUAAGCCGGUUAUCACCAAAAUGUGCAUAACGGCUAGUUUUUGAGCUCAAACUAUAUAAACUCAAAUCCAAUUCAUUUUCAAGCUCUCUAGAAAGCAAAAACAAAAAGCACACAAAAUAUGUUGAGCUCUCAAUUCGCAAAUCAUUAUGCAUUGAAUCAUUUUUGUUCUUCAAUUUGUACAUCUACUCUUUCAGAGAGUUUUUGUAGUAAUUUUCAUUUCUUCAUCUUAAUUGUGAGUGUUUGAGUGUGUGAGACACUUGAGUGAAGAGAUUGAGAGAUAAUCUCUUUGUUGUAAAGGUUCAUUGACACCUUGAAGUCAAUUGUAAGCAUUUGAAGCCUUGGAAGGCUUGGAUAGUGAAAUCCUCAAGCUUGGAUCACUUGAAGGCGUGGACGUAGGCGGUGAUUGUCGAACCACGUAAAAAUUCGUGUGUUUAUUUCUCUUCUCUCUUACUCAUUUGUUAUUGUGCUUUUAUUGAACUUAUUGCUUUCAAAUUUUUUAAGGCGUUAGAUUAGAUUGUUGUGUGGUUUUGUUAGGAUAAUUUUUAAAAUACCAAUUCACCCCCCCUCUUGGGUUGCACACUUGUAUUUCAGAGAUUGUUGGCCAAUCAACCUAAUUCUAGAAGGACUUGGACGUUAAUUUGAGACAAGACCUAUGUAUAUAUAACAGCAUUCGGCUGCAAGAGGGGAAUGCAUACGGGCACGCAGAGACGCAUAAGUUGGAGAUAUUGGGUGGUGGUCACCAUAUCAUGCAUUCUUUUGGUUUUAUUGUUCUCCAUCUAGUAUAUUAGGGUUAAGGAUGAUGUCUUGUUCAAUGAAAUAAAUUACUUUGUAUUUAACUAAUUGUCCCUAAAUAUAAGCCUUAAUAUUUAUGGUUUUUAUUUCAUGUAUUUAAUUGGAUAUUGUUAAAUAUUUUCACUAAUUCUUUUGUGCAUUAUUUAUUGUUAGAACUAAUAUUCAACUAAAUUUAUGCCUAGGUCUAUAAAAUUUAUACAAUUAUCUUUGAUUCAACGUCUUUCAUUAAAUUAUUUAAAUGAGUGUUCAAGAAAACUAACUUUUUGUUAUCACACCAUUAAGCAAAAAAAGAACAUACAUAAAAUUACUUUCAACUAUGCUAGAAUUAUAAUUAGCUUAGAUUACUUUUAGUUCUCCUUACAUUAACAAUUUAUUAUUUUUGGUUCUCCUAGCUGUUGAGUAUUAGAAAAUGUAUAUUUAUAAAGGAGAAAAUUAUUAUUUUACAUUUCAAGUCUUACUAACACUUCUACUUUUAUGUAUUUUAGUCUCUUGUAAUUUAAUUAUGUGUGUUUUAUUUUAAUUAAGUAUUUUAUAUAUUUUAGGGGUAUCAUGGUCAUCUUACAAUGAACGAGAGUUCAGACAGCAAAACGGACGUCAGUUUGAACUCAGGACAGUCGAAAACCUUAGGAUGAGCGUAAAAGGAAAAAUGGCACUGUUCAUAUGUACAGUACUAUUCACAUGUACGGUACUGUCUACAUUACUGUUCACGACACUGUUCACAUAGACGGAUCGAUUACGUGGCAUUAACUGAUGAUGUGGCAUUGACUGAUGAGGUGUGACGAUCUUGUUGGCCUAAAAUUCUUAUGUACUGUUGAUCGGUGAUGUGACAGCAUGUUAAUGAACCAAAAAUCGCGCGUACGGUACAUGCAUAUACACAGGAUUAUAACCAAACCGCGUCACUGUUCAAAUUGCGUCACUAUUCAAACCGCGUGGUCAAACCAUGUGGUCAAACCACGUACUGUUGACUGAUGACGUGGCGCAAUCCUGAGCGUCCGAAAUGUUUUUGAUCCAAUGACCAUGAUUUACUCAAUGUAUCUAGAAAAUGGGGCUCUCCCCCCCUAAUUUGGCAUCCCUGAAUUCAUUUUUGAGCUCAAUGUUCUGUAAUUCCUUCUCCUUCUUGUAGUUUCUACGUAUUUUAAUAAAUUUCUAUUUUACCCUAGUUCAAUUAUGAGUAGCUAAUUUUCUUUCAAACUUGUGUUGAAGGUGAAGUCUCAACAUGUACAAUGGGCUUUAUUUGGUAAAUUUAUUUUCUCUUCCCCUCUAAUUUUUGUGGAUGUUUUGACUUUUCGUCGAAAAAUAAUAAUAAUACCGCCCUGGUUUCACCGGCUCCUUAGUACAAGGUUAUUAUUAUUUGACACGAUAAGCCCUUAGCACCAUAUUGAUUAGAGUGUGGUUCAUGAGGUGUGAUUCCCCCCUCAUGAUUUAAUUGGUACUAAUAAGGAAUAUUUAGCCCAUGGUGCAUGUUGAUGCAGAUCCAGAUACACAAGCGCUUCAAUUAUAAAUUACUUUCACCACAAAUCCAACCACCCACAUAGAAAAUUAAUUCUACACGUAAUUAAAAUCCACCUCCUCGUGGGAUCGAUACUUAUCUCCAUUAAUCUAUUCUACAAUAGAUUCGUGCACUUGCGAGUUUAAUAAAAUUUGCACAACAAGUUCUUAUAAUUUUUUUUCUUAUUUAAAAAAAAAAGAGUGAAUCUGCAUUCUAAGGUUAGUAUUUCUUUUCUUUUUCUCUUCUUCAAAAUUCUGUAAUUUAAUUUUCAAGUUAUUUUUUUGUAAUUUUUGGUUUAUCUUAUUAAUUUAUUUUAAUUUUAGCUAAUUGUUUUCACGAAUUUUUUUUUAGUGUGUUUUCAUAGUAAACACUUCACACACACAAACACGUUAAAAAUAAAGUGAAAUGGAUUUGCAACAACAACAAGCACCACAGGAGAGGCCAUUUAAGGAUUACUUCAGUCCCUUAGCUAAUUUGAGCACAUCAUGCAUAAGUGAUAACUCUCUGAAAUGAGAGUUAUCAUGGCACUUUUAAACUUAAAUCAAUAAUGCUUAGAAAGUAAAUGAUGUGUUUCUAUUGCAUUUUUGUUACAUUUUGCAUAAAUAUUCAUUUUAGUUUAGUCUUAAUAAGUUUUGCUUAAUUUAAAGUAAUUCGUGCUUAAAUUGUGUGCAUAAUUGUAGGUUUCCAGAAGCAGAAUUCAUGGAAGGAAUGUUGAUGCAAUAGGCUUGCAAAAAUAAGAACAUGACUACAAAAGAAUUGAAACGAAUCUGGAACAGUGCAGUUGCUGUAGCCGUUGCUGUAGCAAUCAUUGCUGUAGCCGUUGCUGUAGCAAUCAUUGCUGUAGUCGUUGCUGUAGCAAUCCUGGAACAAUUCCGCGCGGGAUACUUGCAGAAUUGUGAUCUGCAGUUUCCUAAUCUGACUUAUGUGCGCCCUAAGCUUCCGUUUACCCUAAUUUUCAGUUAUCAAAGAAGCACACAUCAUAAGGAAUAGGGAGAGCCGUCACCCAAGGAGAAAACACAAAGAAACAAAAGAAAAACAAGAUUCAAGAGAGAUUGAAGGCCACACAAGAGGAAAAAUUGCAGAGAUCAAUUGGGAGCCCAAUCCUUCUUAUCAUUCUCUUGUUUUCGUGUUUUCUAUUUAUUCAUGGGGAUGUGUUUCAUAGCUGAAACUUUGUUCUUUAUUUUUCUUUUGCAAACCAUGAACUAAAUUUAAUUGUGGUUGAGUGAUAAACAAUCUUGAUGGUUUAUUGACUGAAUAUAUGUGUUUCUGCAUGUUUGCUGUAGCAGUUUAUUUUGAUAGUAUUUAUUUUUAUUCAUUAUUUCGGUUGAUCACCCAUUUAAUGAUACAAGUUAGGAGAGAAACGCAAAAGCACCUAUCUUAGUGGAACAUAUCAGAGCACUAGAAAAUGAAGACCCAUAUAAUCAUCUAAAUGAUUUUCAUGCUGUUUGUCAAACUUUUAAAUAUGAGAAAAUUUUAGAUGAUGAUGUUAAACUCAAACUAUUCUCAUUUUCUUUAAAGGAUAGAGCGCGUUCAUGGCUCAAUACAUUGGCUGCUAAUAGCAUUACAUCAUGGGAACAAAUGGUAAUGAAAUUUUUGAAUAAAUAUUUUCCAGUGCAUAAAACCAAUGCUAUUUGCAGGAAAAUCUCAGAGUUUACUCAAAGAGACGACGAGCAGUUUUUUGAAACAUGGGAGCGAUUCAAUGGGCUACUCUUGAAGUGUCCACAUCAGGGGUAUGAGAAAUGACACCAAUGCCAAUACUUUUUGGAGGGAUUAUUGCCGCAUGUGCAAGAAUGGCUAAUGGCAACAAAUGGAGGAGAGCUAAUGUCAAAAAGUGCAUCAGAGAUUUGGGAAUUCUUCCAGUGACAAGCGGAUAAUUCCCAACAACGGAGUCGAUCACUCAAGAAUACUAGAAGAAUUAAGGGAGUAAAUGAGGUUCACAUUAGUGAGUCAAGUUCAGAAAUUAAAGAAGUCAAAGCGAUAAUUGAAGGUCUCUCUUGACAAAUAGCAUCGUUAUCGACUGGUAAAUCAACAUAGCCACAUGACCAUGACUCAUACUCAAAUCAAGCCAAUGCCAUAAGUGUAAUGAGAAAACUAUCAAAUUACAACCCAUACUCCAAUACAUAUAACCAUGGAUGGAGAGACCACCUUAAUUUUUCAUGGUCUCAAUGAUUCCAAUAGAAUGGACUAGCAGCUCCAGCUCCACCAAUGCAACCAAUUCCUCAAGUUCCACAAGCUCCUCAAGCCUAUCAGCCCCCAUUUAGACUAUACAAUCAGAAUUAGAAUUACUCUCAACCCAGACCAUGGAAGGAUUCAUUCCAGAAUCUCAAGAAUCUUACUCACUCCACAAUUGAGCAACAUAACCGCACCAUUGAUGAACUACGAAAUGAGAUGAGAGCAGACUUUAACUCACAAGCCCAAUCAGUUUCAAACCUUGAGAAGAUGGUGGGACAACUUGCUUCUUCAGUUCAAACUGUUGAGAAAGGCAAGUUUUCAAGUCAACCAGUGCCUAAUCAUAAAGGAGUGCAUGAAGUAAGUACCAAUUCACCACAGCAGCACGGAGAGGUCAAAGCUGUCAUGACCUUGCGAAAAUGGAAAGAAGUUGACAACAAAGUAAAGAUGCUAAUGACGAAAACAAAUCAAAUUGUACCUGUAAAUGUUGAAGACUCACCACCGGAGGAGAAAGAAGAAACCGACCCAUGAGAAUAUGUUCCUAAAGCUCCUUUUCCUUAGAGGAUAGCUAAAGGAAAGAAGGGAAAAUCCACAGGUGAGAUUCUUGAAAUCUUCAAACAGGUAAGUGUUAACAUCCCUUUAUUUGAUGCUAUAAAAUAAGUGCCAUCUUAUGCCAAGUUUUUUAAAGACCUUUGUACUAAAAAGAGAAACAUUCACGUUCAAAAGAAGACCUUUUUAACAGAAAACGUUAGUUCUAUACUUCAACACAAAAUUCCUCUAAAAGACAAAGACCCAGGCUCCCCCAUUAUCUCAUGUAAUAUAGGGAACUACACAAUUGAGAAUGCUUUGUUGGAUUUAGGAACUUGUGUAAAUCAAUUGCCUUAUUCAGUAUUUGCGAAACUUGGACUGGGAGAAUUACACCUAACUCCAGUGGUGUUACAGCUUGCAGAUCGGUCCACGAAAAUACCUCGUGGUAUUGUAGAGGAUGUGCUUAUCCAGGUAGACAAGUUUUAUUUUCAUGUUGAUUUCAUUGUAAUUGACACUCAACUAAUCCAGGAUUCAAGGAAGCACAUCCCCAUUAUUCUAGGCUGACAUUUCUCGGCAACUGUCGAUGCUCACAUUCAAUGCAAGACUGGAAAUAUGCAAUUGUCCUUCGGCAACAUGACUAUGGAGCUAAACAUUUUCAAUAUUGUCAAACAACCUCACAAUGCAGAUGAUGGAAUUGUUGAUGUGGAUUUAAUAGAAACAAUAGUUGAUAAUACAAACAUGUUUAACUCACUUUGGUUUGGAUUUUGAUAUUGACAGAUCUGUCAAUUAGGUCAACGCCCUACUUGACUCAGCACCACCCAUGGACACUAAUAAAUGGAAGUCAAGAGUUGAACAACUAGCACCAUCUGAGAAGAAACUCAUCCCAUCAUCAGAAUCACUACCGAAACUUGAGCUCAAACCAUUACCCAACACUCUAGAAUAUGGAUUUUUUGGGAGAAGAAAGUACUCUGUCGGUAAUCAUCUCAUCAUCCCUAAAUGACGAACAAAAAGAUAAAUUGUUGGAUGUUUUAAAAGAGCACAAAGGAGCAUUAGGAUGGACCAUAGCAGACAUAAAAGGUAUAAACCCAGUAGAUUGCAUGCAUUACAUUCAUCUUGAUGAAAAUACUAAACCUACUAGGGAAAUGCAACGUCGGUUAAAUCCUAACAUGAAAGAAGUUGUUAGAACUGAAGUCCUUAAGCUAUUAGAUACAUGUAUCAUUUACCAAAUUUCUGAUAGUUCAUGAGUCAGUCCUAUGCAAGUUGUCCCUAAAAAGUCAGGAGUCACAGUAGUUACCAAUACUGAUAAUGAAUUUAUACCCACUAGAGUGACUACAGGAUGGCGUGUAUGCAUUGAUUAUAGCAAAUUGAAUUCUGUCACACGUAAAGAUCAUUUUCCUUUACCAUUUAUCGAUCAAAUGCUUGAUAGAUUAGCAGGCCAUGAAUUUUAUUGCUUUCUAGAUGGCUACUCAGGAUAUAAUCAAAUUCUUAUAGCACCAAAAGAUCAAGAGAAAACCACUUUCACUUAGCCUUUUGGCACUUUUGCAUAUAGGAGAAUGCCAUUUGGAUUAUGUAAUGCACCUUCUACAUUUCAGCGAUACAUGUUGAGCAUUUUUUAUGAUAUGGUUGAACGAUUUCUUGAAGUCUUUAUGGAUGACUUUUCUGUCUUUGGUGACUCGUUUGAUCAAUAUUUACAUCAUCUAACACUAGUUCUGCAGAGAUGUAUCGAGAAGAACUUAGUCUUAAAUAGGGAGAAGUGUCAUUUUAUGGUAAAACAAGGUAUUGUUCUCGGUCACAUCAUUUCGAGCAAAGGUAUUGAGGGUGCCAAAGCCAAGGUGGGUCUCAUUUCUAAUCUUCUUCCACCCAAAACAGUCAGAGAAGUAAGAUCUUUCCUUGGGCAUGUUGGUUUUUAUAUUGAAAAUAUUUACUUGCAUAUAUGAUUCAGAUUCUCCUCCGUGGGUUAUUUGAAACGAAUCAUAGAAUACUCAAAUUAGUGCUUGGGUGAAUGAGAAAUCUGACCUCAAAUAGCGCCACUGAUUUGAAAAUAUGAAGAAAAAAAUCUCACAUUGGAUUUUAACUAACUAAUACCCUUUCUUGAAACCUAUUGGCUUCCAAGUUCACUUGCAAAACACACGAAAAUUCAAGUGAUUUUUUAUUCUUCUUUGCAAAUAUUCUCUAGCUUUAAGCUUUAGUAUGAUAGAGUUCAAACAUUUAUUUGAUGUUCGCUGGAAUAGUAAGGUUAUGCUACCAGCGCUAUUCGAAUCUGAUGUAUCAUGGGAGACAAACACCAAUAUAAUUCAAGCACCGUUGUGUCGGUGCCAAAUUUGUUUUAAGGACAUUGUAUCCUUAUAGGCCUCGAAAAUAGUGGUUUUGUCUUAUUACAUAUUGUUGAACAAUAUGUUAUAUCUUUGUUGUUUCAAUUUAUUUAUUUAUUAUUAUUAUUAUAUAAUUGUUAUAAGUAUAUAAGAGGCUUAUUAGUAGGCUUAAGUAGUGCACUAGAAAAGUUUAGUCACAAACACUAUAUACAUUGCCUAAGAGUCUAGGUUUUAAGCAAAAUUAUUACGAUCCUUCCAAUAUUUUUUAGGAACCUAGCCGAUGUAUUUUUUCACAUAAAAUGGACAUUCUUAUAUCAUUUGCUAAUUUAUAAUAAUAUACCAACAAGAAGAUGUAAAGAAAUAGAGAUUAACCGUUAAACAAGAAAUAAUUAAUUAAGAAUAUAAAUACCUGUAAUUUAACCGUUUCAUCAUAAAGAACUAAAGAUGGAAUAAUAUAGUGCAUGGCAUUAAGCAACGGCCAUAAGUCGAGCCUGGUUCAUUUUGCACAGCUUGUAUGAAGCUCGAAGUCAUGACACCCGUCACUUUGCCUGUAAAAGCCUGCUUACACAGUAAAUUCCAGCCAUCCCGUGAAAUUACUAAUGAUAUGUCAUUUAUGCUCCUUUCUACCAAGAGUUUUGGUUCGCUCACGUGGGAUACAAUGUGAACUGAUUUGAGACAAUUGAAAAAUAAAAAAGCACGGAUACUUAAUUUUUUUUUUAACAAUUAUCGUUAGUUAUGAUAUUCGAAAUUGAAAUAUAAGAUUUCCAGUACUAAUAUCUAUUAGAAAAGAAAAUUAAUUUUUUUUAUUUCUUUGUAUUGUUUGCCAUAAAUAAUGAUUUCAUUUAUGUUUUUUUUUUCAAACCAAAGGAAAAUUUUGUCAAAAUUGAAUAAGUGUCAAAGUUACAUCAGAGUUCGAUAAAAUGGACUCCCCUUAGACCUGAAAUGGGAGGUAGGAUGUAAUAAACCCGCCAUAUACUUUGGAGAUUAGGUAGAAAAGAGAGAUGGUCUAAUAUGAACCUUUUUAGAGAAUCUAAUUGUUGGGAAAAUAUGCUCUUUAAAAGCAUAUGUGUUUAUUUAAUUGUAAUAAAUAUUUUUUUUAUGAAUAAAAUUAAUGAGGUAUUUUAUUCAAAUAUCUUAAUUGCAUUAAUAUUUAUAUUAAAGUCCAUUUAAUCAUAUUAUAUGUAUUUAUGUGAUCACCAUGUGGAUUCACAGAAGACAUAAAUACAAGUUAUCUUAUGAUUAAAUAAAUUUAGUUCGCAGUUGGUAAAUAAAGUUGGGCACUUUAUUUAGGUAUAGACUGUAAUGAAUUCAUUGAAUGAUUUGUCUUAAUCAUGUAUGAAUUUAUUGAUGUAGUACGACUACAUUGAACAGGAUCACAUAUGAGAUUUAAUUAACCUUGAAAUGACUGUCAGACUUAUUAAAUCUCAUAGGCAUUGAUUUUACUGUAAUCUUAAUCUUGAGUUAGUUAUGAUUUCAUGAUUGUAAUUGUUAUUCCAUUUGAGUUACCAAUGGGCACGACACAUAAUUGUGGCAAGAUUACUCGGUAUCUUGGUGGGAGCAAUUAUGAGUAUUGAAGUUAUGGAUUAACAAUAUAGAAUUUGUACAACACAUCUCUAUAGAAAAAGCAAGUAACGUGAGUUUUGUUUUUAAUUAUUUGGAGCCUAGGGUUUUCACUAAAGUAGAUAUAAAAGGCUUAUUUUCCCUAAAGAAAAGUCAGAGCAGCCACUUUAUACAGAUCAGAGAAAAAGAUUUUUCUCUCUAUUGUUGAGAGAAAUUUUUUCUCGUGCUAGUUGCUUUGGUAGUGAUAAAGGCGCCCACACGUCAAGUGCAGAUCAAACUUGAGUCAUAACCUGGAAGAUCAUUGGUGACAGUUCAUGAUCGAACAAGCGUGGUGGUGACAGAUCGUGAUCUAACAGGCGUGGUGGUGACGGAUCGUGAUCUGGGAGCCUAAAUCACUUCAACGGAAAAAUCCAAAUCAGAUUUACAAGGUACGAUUUCUAGAUUACAAAUUCUUAUAUAUUAUAUGAGAGCGAUCUUAAAAAGGUUUUAUAAAAUAUUUAAAAACCUAAUUUUUUCCAACAAUUGGUAUCAGAGCCAUCUCAUAGUAAUAUAUAAGAAUUUCGUAUGAAAUUAAUCUUGAUAUUUAUGUAUUAGAGUGGCACAAUUUAUUCAGAUGUAUAUUAUUUGUUUAAUAUAUGAAUAAAGCAUGUUUAUGGGUUGUCUUAAUUCAUGGUUAGAUUUUUCGUUGUAUUUUUUCUUUGGAUAUGUAACAAGAGGGGUGGUUUUUUAUCAUCAUGUUUCUCUCUUGAUUUAUUUUACUGUUAUAGAAUUUUUGUAAGCCAAAAUUGUCCUAGGAAAUUUGUAAAUCAAUCACGGGCGGCAUAUCAAAGCGACGGAGGCCAAAAAUUUCGACAGCGACCACCGACCAGCCAACGUGCGGUACACGCUGGAAGCGCAUGCUGGCAGUGCACGCAGCAGGCAGCACACGCUGCCAGCAGUGCGCGCAGCAAACGGUGCGCGCGGCCAGCCUGGCUAGCGGCGCGUGCAGCAGCGGCGUGCGCAGGGUUGGUUUAUUUCCGGCGUAUCGGCAACGGCAAACUCGGCGUUGAUGGCGGCUAUCCGUUGAGAAAGGUCUAAACAAUGGUCGUUUGUGGAGAUGGCGGCUGGGGAAGAAGAAAGAAAGAAAAAUAUGAUUUUAGGGUUUAAUAGUUUUUAUCAUGGAGGUCCCUAUGGUUUCAUAAUUUUUUCUUCGAGCAGAAAUGUUUAAAUUUUUUGCAUUUAAGUCCAAAAACAGUUUUGGGCUUAAUGAAUCCUAGUUUUAGGACCAAUUUCAAUAGGGCUUAAUGGAUUAAAAUGCAUAGAUAAAAUUGAAUACACUAAAUUUAUUUUUGGUCCAAAAGUUUUAUUUUAAUAAAUUUAUUUAUUUCCUUUUCAAAAUUAAAAUUGGACCAAUUAUAAAUUUAAAAGCCCAAUUUCCCCUAGUCCAUUAACAAAGACAAGCUUAUGAAAAGAUGGACAUUGACAAGAAGCCCAAUGAAGAUUAAGCUUAAGGUUAAUGUAUUUUUUCAUUAUUAGGAAAGCCAUGAAUUAAGAUUAUUUAAUUAUUUUUCUAUAUGUUAUGUUUUGGAUAAUAACAUGCCAUGAUAACAUGUCAUAUAGAAUAGGUAGUGUCACUCUAUGCAUAAUGAUACAUGUCAUUCAUUAAUAAUGAAUCUCAUUAUAUUGUUUGAAAUUUGCACAUGCUUAAUAAUAGUUGAUAUCAUCUAGAUAAUAUUAUAGAAAGCAUGCAAUUAACAAUAUGUAUGUUUUAAAAAGGAAAAACCAAUUUUAAAAUAUUGAGUGGGAGAGGGAAAAUUAAAGAUAAUUUUCCUACGGGCUCCAUUGUUAGUUCAAUAAUAAAAUUAUAUAUAUACCUCGACUUCAUGAUACGGUGAUGCUCCCUACGGAGGGUAUAUAUAUUAGAUAUUUUAUUUGAUGAACUUCUUCAAAGAUAAAAUUGAAAUAUUUUUCAAUCGAUUGUUCGCCCCAACGGUGAAUAUUGAUAUGAAAAAUACGUAAAUUGAAACAAUGGUUAUACACUCAACUAAAAUUUGUUAUUAACCUUCCCAACGAAGCUCUGUUAAUAAAUUUAGGCCCAAAAGGAUAACGAUAAUUAUUUAUCAUGUCUCUACAUGAAAGUAAAUAAUCUAAUGGAUAAUUGGGUCUAGUAAGUGUAGACAUGACUUCCCCAAUGGAUAGCUUGUCAAAGCGGUACUAGAUUAUCGUUACAAUAAAUUAAAAUGCAUUUAUGGUUUUUUUGUAUUUUUGUCAUUUGUUGUGAAUAUUGUUUCAAAGUAUUUAUGCAUGUCUAUUUUUUUUUUUUUUGAAAAAAAUGUCUUCCAUCAACCCAUUAUUAACUAUCCUUGUUAAAAAUGAACUCACUGGCGAAAAGUAUUUAGAUUGGAAAUGCAAUCUAUUUAAUAUUCUCAUUGCUAAGGGCUGCAAAUAUGUGUUGACCCAGCCUUGUCCUCCUGAACCAUCGUUAUACGAUUAUAGAAAUCAGAGGGAGCCUUAUGAGAAAUGGUGCGAAGCUAACAAAAUGGCUAAGUGCUAUAUAUUGGCUUCGAUUUCUGUGGAACUGCAUAAGAAGCAUUGGAGCAUGGAAACAGCCACUGAAAUAAUGGCUAGUCUUCAUAAGAUGUUUGGGCAAAAUACUCAUUUUACUAGAGAAGCAGCAUUAAAACGUAUUACAGAUACUAAGAUGGAAGAGGGCACAAAAGUUCAUGAUCAUGUCCUCAAAAUGAUGGACUAUUUGAAUGAGGUAGAGAUUCAUGGUCUUCAAAUCAAUGAUAAAUCAAAGAUUAAUAUGGUGAUUGAAUCUUUACCUGAUACAUUCAAAGAGUUUAAGGUCAGUUAUAUCUUAAACAAUAAAGAUAUGACCUUAAUUGAAUUAAUGCACGAACUACAUGCUAUAGAAGAAUUUUAUCAUAGCAGAAAACUUCCUGAAAAAGGAUUCUCUUCAAGGCUUAAGUCGAAAGACAAGAAUGAGCAAGCAAGAGUUGGGAUCGGCAAACUGUCCACUAAAAAAAGUGGCAAGCCAAAAGGCAAGUGUUACAAAUGUGGACAGAAGGGUCACUGGAAGAAAGAUUGUCCUAAGAUUAUUAAAAUCAGACAUAGGAAAUCUUUAAGCUUCCUAAUUAGUUCAGAUUUCUAUUGAUUCAUACAAUAAUGAAUUAUGAGAUAACUAAUCUUAUUUGUAAUUCAUUUAUUUGGUUUUCAGGAAACCAAGAGAUUAAGUGAAGAAAGCUUCAAACAGCAGUUGAGGACAUGCUAGUUUAUAUCAAUUGAAAGGCUAGAUCAAUUUUACAAGACCUAAAGUUUUGAUAUUUGUCUUUAUUUUUCCAAAUAUUAGAGGAAUUUAAUUUCGGUGACUUAUUUUCAUAAACAGGAGUACACUGUUAUUUUUUGAUCCUCUGUUUAUUAUUUAUUUUGGUUAUUUAUAAAGACAAUUUAUAUCAUAUAAGUCCAUUGAUCUAUUCAAAGCAAGAUAUAAUGAUAAAGAGUAUAUGCAUUUAUCUAAGAAAAGAAAUGUUUCUUCAAACCAAAAUCACCUCUGAUAUUUAUGCUUAAGUCAUAUAAACUAUAAUAAGAUUUUAAGAAAAUGAUUAAUGAUAGACUUGUUGGCCUAUUAAGAUUGAUCAUUGUAACUUUAUAAAUCUUAUUUAGAAAAGGAAUAUGAUGAUGAUGCUUGUAUUUGAUGAUUUAGUGCAUACAAAUGUAUACGGACUAAUCAGUUUACAUGUUAUAAGAGGUUAUAAGUAUUCUAUCAAUCUUGUUGAAGAAUAUUCAUUUUAUUUAUGUUUGUCUAAAUGUGUCAUGAUUCCAUUGCUUUUGAAAUUCAAAAGAGUAGGUGGAUAAGACAGAAGCAAUUAGACAGGAACAUAAAAGAACUUCGAUAUGAUCGAAACAAAGAAUGUCUCUAUGGAGAAUUCAAGCACUAUUUGGUUGUCAAUGAACACUAUGAUACAAUAGUGUAAUUAAAUGGAGAAACAAGAUUCUUUUGGAUAAAACAAGAUAUAUACUAAGUGGUUUAUCAUUUACCUUUUUGAUUCCAGAUACUAAUAUUUAAAACUACAAAGUUUAUUGAACUUAGUUUCAUCUAUCUCGGUGUCUACUACUCCAAGAAAUUAUGAAAAAGUCACAAACAUGGUUUGAGACACAUUCGUAUUUGGAGUUUACUAGUAUUUCUACUAGAAUCAAAGGUAGAGAAGAUGGAUUUCUGUUCAAAAGCUUGCAUGUUUAAGGUAUCUUAAUGGAAUAAGGGAAAGUCUGAAUUAUAGUCCUCAAGAUAGGAAUGUAUUUAUAGACAUAUUCUUUACUUUUUUUGAGGAAGACUAUAUAAUGACUUAUAACCUACGAGUAAGGUAAAACUAGAGAAAUAAAAGAGAUCAGGUUGAUGCAGCUUUCAACACCUGUUAUAGAACAGGAAGAACAACAACAAUCGGCUGAUCACCACAGGAUUAUCCUUGAACAACCAUCACUUUUAGAACCUCGUCAUAGUGGGAGGGUAACUAGGUUACCUGCGAGAUACAUGUUAUUGAGAGAAACCUAUACGACGAUCUCAGUUGAACAUGUAUAAGAUCCCACUAGUUACAACGAAGCUCUAAUAGACAAAGAUGUUGAAUUUUGUAAAAAGGUCAUGAAUCAAGAAAUGGAAUCUAUGUAUUCCAAUAAAGUCUGGGAACUUGUAGAGGCACCAAAUGGGGUAAAACCUAUAAGGUGCAAGUGAAUCUACAAGAUAAAAAGAGGAGUAGAUGGAAGGGUGGAAACAUUUAAAGCAAGAUUAGCAGCCAAAGGGUUUACUCAGAAAGAAGGAAUCGAUUAUGAGGAAACUUUUUCUGUGGUUGCUAUGCUUAAAUCCAUCAGGAUUCUGCUCUCCAUUGCUGCAAUGCUAGAUUAUGAAAUUUGACAAAUGGAUGUUAAGAUAGCCUUUCUUAACGGGCAUCUUGAAGAAGACAUCUACAUGCAUCAACCAGAUGGAUUCGUACAAAAGGCCAAGAACACAUGGUAUGUAAGUUGCAGAAAUCCAUUUAUGGAUUAAAGCAAGCAUCCCGGUCAUGGAACAUCAGAUUUGAUCAAGAGAUUAAAUCGCUUGGAUUCAUUCAGAACAUUGAUGAAUCAUGUGUGUACAAGAAAAUUCAAGAAAAAUCUGUAACCUUCCUAAUUCUUUAUGUAGACGAUAUUCUCCUAAUUGGAAACAAUAUAGGAGUAUUGACUACAAUAAAGAGUUGGUUAGCGAAACAAUUUGAUAUAAAAGACUUGGGAGAGGCAAGUUAUAUUCUUGGUAUCAAGUUAUUACGAGACCGGAAGAAUAAAACUUUAGCCUUGUCUCAAGCGGUCUAUAUCGAUAAGAUAUUGGCUAGAUUUAGCAUGGAAAAUUCCAAGACUGGUUUAUUACUAUUUAGACAUGGAAUUACAUUCUCUAAGGAUCAAUCACCUAAAACAUCUGAAGAGAUAGAGAGAAUGAGACGAGUUCCCUAUGCAGAAGCUGGGGAAGUCUCAUGUAUGUCAUGCUUUGCACUAGGCCAGACGUCUGUUUUGCGGUAUGGAUGGUUUACAGAUAUCAAUUUAAUCUUGAACCUCAAUACUGGAAUGCAGUCGAGCAUAUUAUAAAGUAUCUGAAAAGAACUAAAAAUUAUAUGCUUGUGUAUUCUGGUGACGAACUCAUUCCAGUGGGUUAUACUGAUUCUGACUUUAUGUCAGAUAAGGAUUCCAGAAAAUCAACUUCCGGCUAUGUGUUUACAUUAGGAAGUGGAGCUAUUAGUUGGAGGAGUGUGAAACAAUCUUGUAUCGCAGACUCCACAACUGAAGCUGAAUAUGUGGCUGCAUCCGAAGCUGCAAGAGAAGCUGUAUGGCUCCGCAAGUUCCUACAAGAUCUUGAGGUGGUACCUGCUGUAACUGCACCCCUUAAACUAUUUUACAAUAAUAGUGGUGGGGUAGCUCAAUCUAAGGAACCAAGGAACCACAAGAAACAAAAACAUAUUGAGAGGAAGUAUCAUCUUAUAAGGGAAUAGUGUAGAAAGGUUAUAUGACAGUACCCCAAAUGGCAUUAGAUGCUAAAUGACAGAUCUUAUUACAAUGGCCAUUACAGGGAAACCUUUAUAACCUGUACUUAGAGCUCUAGAGCAUGUGCAAUAUGCCAGAUAUGCUUUAAGAGCUAAGUGGGAGAUUGUUGGGAAAAUAUGCUCUUUAAAAGCAUAUGUGUUUAUUUAAUUGUAAUAAAUAUUUUUUUCUGAUUAAUAAAAUUAAUGAGGUAUUUUAUUCAAAUAUCUUAAUUGCAUUAAUAUUUAUAUUAAAGUUCAUUUAAUCAUAUUAUAUGUAUUUAUUUAAUCACCAUGUGGAUUCACAGAAGACAUAAAUACAAGUUAUCUUAUGAUUAAAUAAAUUUAGUUCGCAGUUGAUAAAUAAAGUUGGGCACUUUAUUUAAGUAUAGACUGUAAUGAAUUCAUUGAAUGAUUUGUCUUAAUCAUGUAUGAAUUUAUUGAUGUAGUACGACUACGUUGAACAGGAUCACAUAUGAGAUUUAAUUAACCUUGAAAUGACUGUCAGACUUAUUAAAUCUCAUAGACAUUGAUUUUACUGUAAUCUUAAUCUUGAGUUAGUUAUGAUUUCAUGAUUGUAAUUGUUAUUCAAUUUGAGUUACCAAUGGGCACGACACAUAAUUGUGGCAAGAUUACCCGGUAUCUUGGUGAGAGCAAUUAUGAGUAUUGAAGUUAUGGAUUAACAAUAUAGAAUUUGUACAACACAUCUCUUGAUGGGUUUUCGGCACUUGAUCAUAGAAUUCUUUGGCCAGAGUGUGUAAACAUAUUUAGUAUGUUAAAAAUGAUCAUUAGAGAAAACCAGUAAGUAUCAAGGAAUAAGAUGUUAUUAAAUUGAUUGGACAGUUGAGAUAUCAAUUUAAUUAACGAUGUGGUACAAAGGAUUGUGCAGUAAAGAAAUCAAUGUGGCUUGGGACGAAUUAUUAUUCGAGCAUACAAUUAUGGAAGUCAGUUCCUAUCUUUUAGUGGAGUAGAUUUGGAAUUUAAUAAUUGGGCUAGUUUAAUUACAAGCCUAAUCAUUGUAGCCACUAUUGUAUGUUCCCAAAUGAUCCCCGGGUUAGCUCAUUUAAUUGACUGCACCACUACUGGAUUAAUAAGCAAGAUAACUAGCUAUUUGGGUCAAAAGCCUAAAUAUAUCAUUUAGUGGGAGGCUCCAUUUAAUUAGCUUGUGUGUAAGGGUCCUUAUGUUAUUUUACAAGGUGGGUCCUCUAUAGAAAAAGCAAGUAACGUGAGUUUUGUUUUUAAUUAUUUGGAGCCUAGGGUUUUCACUAAAGGGAGAUAUAAAAGGUUUAUUUUCUCUAAAGAAAAGUCGGAGCAGCCACUUUAUACAGAUCAGAGAAAAAUAUUUUUCUCUCUAUUGUUGAGAGAAAAAUUUUCUCGUGCUAGUUGCUUUGGUAGUGAUAAAGGCGCCCACACGUCAAGUGCAUAUCAAACCUGAGUCAUAACCUGGAAGAUCAUUGGUGGUUCGUUAUCUAACAAGCGUGGUGGUGACGGAUCAUGAUCUAACAGGCGUGGUGGUGACGGAUCGUGAUCUGGGACCCUAAAUCACUUCAACGGAAAAAUCCAAAUCGAAUUUACAAGGUACGAUUUCUAGAUUACAAAUUGUUAUAUAUUAUAUGAGAGCGAUCUUAAAAAGGUUUUAUAAAAAAUUUAAAAACCUAAUUUUUUCCAACAAUAAUAACAACUAAUGAAUUUCUACAACACAAUGAUACUACUGAAGUCGUGGCAUAAGAACUUUAAGAACUUAAUUAGGUGACCUCAAGUUACAAGGAUCCUAAUUCGGCAAAUGACAAAUUGCAUACGAAAAUGACCAUUAGCAAACAACAACUGUUCUGCUAGAAUAAUUUGUCAAAUGCAAUCGUUGAUUAAAAAAAAAAAGAGAGAGAAUGGGCCAUUUAUUUCAGUUAAUGAAACUGAUAUAAAUACAAACUCUUAAACAAAUUACUGCCUCACCAAAUUACUGUUGGAUUGAUUUUCACAUGAAUUCACUUUAUUAACUAUAUAUAUUAAAAUUUUAUAUUUUAACUAACUAUUAGUGUAUUGCCACAUCCAUUUCUAGAUAUAAUUUAUACAAGAAUUUCUAUCCUUAUGAUUGCUCAAUUAAAUAUUUAAGGGAAAAAGAAGGGUAUA
rnacentral:lncRNA from 1 species